UGAGUUAGAGUAAACUGUCAAGACUUAAAACUUACUUACUUUACCUUUACCAUGGGACUUGUAACUGUCACUUCUGUCUUGAGUGGUUAAAAGAUAGAACAGUCUAGCCAAGUGCCAUGUCUCUUAUUCUUGAUCAGCUAUAGCUCUGGGGUUUUUGCAGAUUUUCUAAUAAAACUCAGAAAUUCCUUGUAUGAUUCUCUCAGGUCUCUCUUUUGUGGUAUUUUUGGAUCCUUACCAAGGCAGUGAUGGUAUAUGCCUUCUCUCAAAAUAUGUAGUAUUUGUGGUAUGAAGCAUAGUGACAUUGUCUUCUCUCUCACCCUACUCUAAUAAGGCUUUAAUAUCUGGAGCUCAUAGGUGGGAGAUAAAGUAUACAUACUUACAAGACAUUUAUUGCAUAGUCAAACCAUGGAUCCAAAGAAACAAAUCAAUAAGCCAAAUCAUGAUGUGCAUGUGUGGCGAAUGAAUGGUGUAUGGUGAUGAUGGUGAUAACAAUGGUGGUGGAAGUCUAAUUCUACUUUGCUCUUUGAGGGGAUACAUAUCUUCCUUGCUUUUGAAACUUUAUGUGGAGAAUGAGAUGGUCUUCUUUUUCUUUUCUUUCGAGGUUCCGAGCACUUGCUCCUUUUUAUUUCCUCGUAUAUUAUUUUUUUUCUCUUUUUUCUUCUUCUUUUUUUUUCUCUUUUUUUUUACUAGAGCACUCAUCUCCUGAAAUAAUGUAGCAAGUGGUAGUAACCAAAAUAACUGGAGCAUUUAUUUCACAGGGAAUAACAGGGAUGGGAAAAUGUUUUUGGCUAUUCUCUCCCAGAUUAGGAGUAGAAUCAUUUUGGGUAAAACUGGAGAUAGAAAUGAGUGGAUAUAUGUGGAUGGUACUUCCGGAGUAGAAGUAGCAUGUAUGAGUAAUCGUGCAAGUGAAUCUUGAUUUAACCACAUGACAAGCUCCUAAGGGUCUACACAGCUUGACCACACUCAAUGCUCAUAAGCAGUAAAUAGUAAAUGUGUGGCUCAAGGUCUAGCAAGCAUGUAUAUAUGGCUGUGGUAGGAAUUUAAACUCUCAUCAUACAGGAACUCAUCAUGUGUUAUUUUAAAGAUUUUUAAAGAUAAAAUUCUCCAGAAUUCUAGCAUCUCUAGGAACAGAUAAACAGCAGCUCAACCUUCCCAUAUCAUAUCCGUUAACAACUUAGACUUUAGAUCAAGUACUGUUCCCACAAGUUCAGGUUUAGAGCAAAUCUUACUUCAUAACAGUCAUGCCUAAACUUGAGAGAGAUUUCAAUUUUAAGAACUAGUUAUGGCAGAGCAACUAUUCAUCAUUUCCAUGUGAGACUUUAUCAUGAAGGUUCAUAGCAAACUUUAUUUAUUUAUUUAUUUAGCAAACUAAGCAAAGAUAUAUAUAUAUCAGCAUAGAAUUUUUAUUUGGGUUUUCAUGAUUAUGCAUCUUUAUCAUUUGAGUAAAGUAUAAACGCGAGUAGAAACACUUAGCUGGAUAAAGGGGGUGCUCUCCCCCAAGCUGGAUUUUGACGUAAUUUCUUCUGAUGUAGCUAGCAGGUGAUGGAGGUGUAUUUGAAAGUCGGCAGCACCCUGACAGCGAUUAGGAUGUCCUCCGUCUGCUAGUCUUCUUUGAUCCUUGAAUUCUAUGGAGCUCAAAUAGACAACAAAGCUUUGCGGAACUGGUUAAGUGUUAGCAUAAAUAUCUAGCCUUUAUCAUGUUGAGCCUCCUCAAUAAAUGUUACUUAUUUUGCAGGAUCAUGCACUUAUUAUUUUUUUAUAUUUUUAUUGUAAGAUGAAAACUUAUUUAUUUUAUUUUUAUGCCACCAUAGUGAAUGUACUUAUGGGUUUUAUGCCAUGAGCAUACUCACAUGGGGCUACUAUAUUUUUUUUUAACAUUUUUAUUUUCUUUUCAAGAUAAUACGAACAUGAUUAACUAAGCAAACUAUAAUUGAAUAAUUGAAAGGAAAAGGAUAACUACCAAGUUUACCGCUUGGCAAGGCGUUCGGUGUUUUUUAAGUCCUCCGAACGGGACUCUCCGUUUUCUUAGUCGUCCUGAGGUUUGUUGGGUGGCGUAGUCGGUACUUCCGGCAGCGCCUCCUCUUCAUUUGUAGUUAUCUUCAUUUUCCAUACCUGACUCGGUGUUACGGUCUCCUCAGGACAGUUCUGUUCAAGUUGUAUGUCUUCAGUCCUUAUCACUUCUCCUUCGUAGUCUACCCAUCCGUCCUUGAUGAUUUGCCUCCUCUGGUUGGGGUUGCGUUGUCUUCUUCUUGUCCUGACCUGCUUAGAAUCUUCAACUAUAUAAUCAUUAAAGUAGUGGCGUACCUUUCUCAGAGGGGAAGUGCAUGUGGACUUCUCCGGUUCCAAUAUAGAUAAUGGCUUUGAUAGUGUUUAGGAACGGUCUUCCAAGGAUGGUGGAUGGAUCAUACUUGUCUUCUCCCAUGUCAAUGACCUGAAAAUUGUUUGAAGCUGAAUGUAUCUUGGUUGUAGGGGCAUGGUUCCAUGCAGGAGCUGAUAAGUGACUGCGGCCAUUAUGUUGUCGUCAGAUCCGGUGUCGUAGAGUGCCUUCUGAAAAGAGUAUCCAUUGUUUGUGCAUUCGAUUCUUGGAACACCAGGGUCGUCCUUCUUGAUCAAGAAAGGUGACUUGAGUCGACGAUCUUGACCUCCUUGAGCUGCAGUGACCAUCUUAGCUGACUCGGUCCACAUUUGCUUGUUCCUGUUCCUUCUGUUGGUCCUGUUCCUUGGUUCAUGUCGGGAUUGCUCUGAAGUUUGUGUAGUCUUGUUCUUGAAGGAAAAUCUCCUUCUUCCCCUUGAUGUAGAAACUGAUCUUGGCAGCAUUAGCGUAGAUGAUAGCUCUGGUGUUUGGGAAUGGCCUCCGUAAGAUGAUGGGUGCCCUCUCCUCAGUACCAGUCUCUAUCACCACGAAGUUUGCUGAAGCGUACAAGGUACCAACUCGGACACAGAGGUUCUUCAAUAUUUCCUUUGGGAAACUAAGUGUCUGAUCUCCAUUGUGUUUGUGCUCGUAGAUCUCGGUUCUUCACUUGGUGGAAUCUAGGAGUUGUAAAACUCCUCCAUGUUUUGUUUGAAGUGUACCUGUUCAUAGAGACAAGGCAGAGAUCAAGUGCAUGGGCCCUGUUGGUGGAAAACACCAACAGAACCAAAAGUGUAUUUGUUCUUCUCUAACCUUAAGCAUAGUGAGCAAGACAAAGUUGAUGGAUCAUGAGUGUAGCAUUUAAAACAUUUGUUAGAUCAGAUGGCUCAACCUAAUGGAAAGAUAAUCUAUCUAUAUUUAUGUUUUGUUUAUAUCUUCCAAAGAUUGAAUGUGCAACAUUUUAGCUUAUAUGAUUAGGAGUGUGGGAUCACGAAGGUAGUACUAAGAACAAAGAUUAAAGGACUAAACAUGUUGAAUUAAUUGGGUUGAUUAAUUUGGAGCUACAAAUCAUACAUGUUUGUCUCUUUAUUUUAUGUGAACGCUAGAACCAAGGAGAAGCUUAUAAAAGUGAUAGUCAAGUACCUUAAAAUGUUACCUUACUUGAAGAGUGAUGGUACAGUAUCACCUUGUGGAAGCUUUCCUUUCUUAGCGGUUGUGCAUCGUGUUUGUGGCACCCUCCAUGAAUCAUCUCUUAUGAGCUACGUCUUUCUUGUGCAAAUUGUUUAAACUUCAUGUGUCACUUUCUUCAUCUCAAAUGUGAGUUUAUCUCAGGACUUCCCAGGUUGAUAUUGAAAGUUUUCCUGCAGGGGUUAGUCCAAAAUAUACCAAUAUCUACUCAAGCAGUUUUUAGUUCACUAACCAAACUAGACUCCAUGUCUAAUCAGAUUAAGGAAGGCUAUUUAACCGAAGCACCACGCUUAAUUUAAAUGCCAUUGGAAGUGUGACCAGUACUUCCAAACUAACACUUACUAGGAUAAACAAAGGUAGCAUGAUGGCUUUUAUAGAGAUCUACUCAAGUGGAGAUGAAGUAGUGUGAUUAUUAUUUAACAAAUUGAGCAUGUCUCAAAGGUAAGGACAACCAACAUAAUAACAUGGCAAAGGAUGUUUUAUGUAAAGUACUCCUCCAAGCUUGAAUUUUCAAAAUUCAAGUUUGGAUGAAUUUAAUUCAAUGUUGCAUGAUGAUUGGUUGGACAUACCUUGUGCUUGUCAUUCCUCGGAUCUUCUUGCUCCAAUCCUAGAAAGGUUAGUGACACGAAUACCCGAAGGAAUAUUUCUACAAUUAUCUUUAUAUGCUCAAUACACAAGGCAAUAUUGCAAAUAAUUAAAAGUUCAUGUUAUGAUCUGAUAAGUGCUUGUUUUAGGACACUAAGCUUGUCCUUGGGAAACCAUCAAUUAACUCAGCGAGAUCUGCAAUAUUUAUUAUAGACAUAUGCAUCGACAACCGCUCUUUUCAAGUUUUUAUAAAUAGAUAAGAAGAGAGGGUUGGAGAUCUCAAAUGUGGUAAUGUUGGAGAGACUAAUUGAUUGGGGAGAUGUUGCAUAUGAGCAUGGACUUGGUGAGGUAUUUAUGAAAUAACUUCCAUGCUCACUGUUGUUUCUCUCAUUCUCAAACUCCAAGGAUGAUUCUUCAUGAAUAUUUAAAAUUCCUCUAGGAUUGUCUCUUAAGUUUGUUUUAUCUAUCCAUUCAAUGGUGAUAGCACAUGGAUUUUUAAUGCCCUGUAGCCAUUGAUGUUGCUCCUCUCGAUCCUCCUUGUGGUCUUGGUGACUCUUAUGCAUGGGAUGUCUAGAUAGAUUUAUAGGAUUAUCGGGAGGUUCAAGAGAAAGAGCAUAGUACAAAUUAUUAAGCUCAAGGAUGGGUUGGAUAGCCGAAUCAUGGGAUUGGAAUGUUUGGAAAUUGGCUAUUGAAACUUCCUUUCCUCAUCUGGGAGAUGAUUCCUUCUCUAUCUCUAAGAUUUUUCUAUGAAGAUUAGUGCAAGAAGGAUGACACGAAUGAAGACAUACCUUCCUUUACAAAUAGAUAAAGAAAGAAGGACUCUACCAAAAGUUAUAUGAUUAAGACCAAUGUGAAAAUAUCUAGGAAAAACAUGGUCUUGCUGGGCUAGGUCUAAACCAGAAUUUAUAGAAAAAUUAAAAGAUUCCCUAGGUGUAGCUAAAAGUGUAUUAUCUUUUUGAUUAAAAGAUAGGACCUCGGCUAUAGAAAAGGGUUGGUUUUGACCUAUUGCAAUCAACUCCGGACACAGAUCAUAAUUAGGGGCAGGACGUGUUGACUCCCAUGGUCUAUGGCUGGUCUCCGAAGGUGCAAAGAAUUCAAUAAUAGGUAUGGAAUUUGAGUUAUCCAUAAAGAUAAAAAUAAAUAGAUAAAAGAAUAAAAGUAUAAAAGUAUAAUAUAAGAUAAUAGCAAGAUUCAAAGUUAUCUCAGCAAACCGUCUUUCUCCCCGGCAACGGCGCCAGAAAUGCUUGUUGAUUGGUAACGCAAUUAGAAAAUGAUCCGCAAGCGCACGGAUAUCGGUGAGCAUUUCACCCGGGAGGUUUUCCAGAGUAUCGUAUUUAUAUUUUUACCACUGGGAGAAAGGGUGCAUCUGACUAACCAAAUCUAUUGCUACUAUCCCUUUAGGCUACAAAGAAUGUUUCUCGAUGUGAGUGAUGUAUAGAGAAGACUGCAACCGUAGUCUCGUUCUAACCUUGGUAAGGAUGAUCUAUUGUUCUAUUGGGGAGGCUCACGGAAUCUAGACAACACAAAGGAUGUUCGACCCGCACCUAUAAACCUACCCGUCCUGCUAACGAGAUGUGAUCUACAAAGGUAACUCGGAAAUGUCACGUUCCUCGCUACUACCACGGUCCAGCUAGUCAGGGGAUAUCUUUGAGUACCCUAGCCUAAACACCACGUUUACGCUAACAAGUGAUUACUCUAAUACUCAACCGGAAGAGGAUUAAAAUAAACUCAUAAACCAAAGAACAAUAAAACAAGAACUUACUAGUAUUAGAAGUCGAAUUACUGAAGAAUCUUAGAAGCAAGCCUCGGGUUAGGAGACUUGAUCCCGUAGGUACAACUCGGAGUAGACACCGACAGGCCGGCCUUCCUCCGAUCCACACCUCCACUCUAUCUCUCUCAAUCUAGUAGAAACUAGAAGAUCUAUUUCUACUUUACAUUGGUUGCUAAGCCUAAAAAGAAAUAUUAUUUAGAGAAGAGGUUUUCCUUCGAGGGCACCCCUCAAUCUCUAUGAUAAUUUCUUGUCUCCUCCAGGGGCCAGAGGGGGUCUCCUUAUAUAGUCCUCCCCUUCUAUGCGUUUUUGGGUCGAUAGGAGAGGUGGUACUAUGUUAUUCUGGAUCCAAUAGGUCGGUGGAACGUCGUGUGCGAAGAGAGUCCGGAACGGAGUCCAGAGGGGGGCGGGCGCCCAGGUCCUCAGGGCGGGCGCCCUGGGCCUGGCCCCUUUCGGGCUCCGCUUCCUUCCCGUGGCUUCUGGAGUCUUCUAGAUGGUAGAAAAUUGCGCGGUGGGUUGAUAUCUCUAUGUAAUCCCGACAUGUGGGCCUUUCUUCCUUAUUUCCUGAUAACCCCCUGCAGAAAUAGACAAACACCAAAACUCGUGGAAUUCUGUCAGAUAAAACCCUAAGUCUAGAUGUUGAUUUCAUUUGGAUCCUUUUCUUUGUUUAUUUGAUAAGUAAAUUUGAUACUUAAGGACCGUCAACAAUGGGGUCAACGACGAGCGGGUAGACGCCAGGGGCAACUACCUUGUCGGGGUGGUCUUCUCGAUCGAAGGUGAUGGGGGUGCUUGACCAGCUGAGGUACUGGGGCACCGCCAUCCUUGCUGCGAAGACCUCACGACAUUCCCUCUUACGCUGCCUUACGGUCAACUGUCUUGAGGGCCCACCAUAGAUCAUGUAGCAGUCGUGGACGGUAGGAAAACCGUCGUCGUCUUUGUUGUCCUCCUUAUCGCCGCCCUUCUCCUUUUUAGGGUCGUCGCGCGCGUCCUUCUUGAACCCCAGACCGUUGAAAUGCUUUUUCAGCAUACGACAGUCCUUGAGCUUAAGGUUGGCUCCUCCCUUAUGGUAAGGGCACGGCUCCUCUAGCAUCUUAUCGAAGAUGCCCCCAUCUGGAGGGCCUUGAGGUUUUUUGCGUUCUAUGGCGGCGACAAGAUCGUCGUCGAAGUCCUCCCGCUGGAACGGUCGUGUUUUCUUCUUCUUCUUGUUCUUCUUGGGCCCUCGACUGGGGCCCUCAUCCUCAUCGGCGGGCUGCUUGCCUUUCCUUCCUUCACAACUGAAGAAGGCGCCGACCGCUUCUUCCCCUGCUGCGUAGUUGGCCACCACGUCCAUCAGCUCGUCGACGUUCUGUGGGCGAUUCCGGCCUAAUUCCCACACCAAGUCUCAACUGGUGGUACCAGAGACAAAGGCCAGGAUGACGUCGUGGUCGGGGAUGUGCGGCAGCUCGGUGCGUUGCAUUGAGAAGCGUCGAGCGUACUCUCAAAGAGUUUCUCCUGACUUCUGCUUGCACUUGCUGAGGUCCCACGAGUUCCCAGGCCGUAUGUAGGUCCCUUUGAAAUUACCCUCAAAAACUCUAACCAAAUCGACCCAGUCGUGGAUCUGAUCAGCUGGAAGCUCCUGGAGCCACUUGCGGGCGGUGUCGGAGAGGAAGAGCAACAGCUGUCUAAUGAUUGCUCGAUCGUCUCCUCGAGCGCCUCCCAGCUGACAGGCCUGCCUGAAGUCUGCAAGCCACAGCUCUGGUUUGGUUUCACCGUUGUACUUUGCGAUGAUGGUCGGGGGUCGGAACGGGCUGGGCAGCGGCGUGCUGCGGAUUGCCCUGCUGAAUACCCGUGGGCCUGGUGGCUCUGGGGCUAUUCGGUCUGCAUCGCUGUCAUACCUCCCGCCGCGAUGGGCGCUGUUACCACGUUCUUCCGCAUCCCCAUACCGACGGCGACGGUUCUCUUCAAUGUCACGUCGUGCGUCAUGUCGACGUUGGUUGUCGACGGGGAGGACGAGCGUGGUCUUUUUUGCUCGAGGGGGUGGUUGCUGAUGGACCGACACCUCCUUUUCGUUUUGGGCUGGCUCAUCGCGCUUUUCAGUGGCAGCUCCUCGAUGCCGAGAAGCCAAGCUUUCGGCCUGUCGAACUGCCGCCACCUGGAGCAGAGUCUGCACCUCGUCUCGGAUGCGUCGGGCUUGGGAGUUCGACGGCUCUGGCAUGUUUCGCAGCAGCAUUGUUGCUGCCACAACGUUCUGGCCUGCUCGAGGGAAACGGCUGACGGGCUGCUCCGGCUCUGCGUCUCCGACGAUCUGUCGGUGUACCUCUCGAGCUCGUCUGCGGACACUUCCGCCAGGCGGGUAAGGCAGGUCCUGCUCGAGGAUCUGCUCAAGCAAGACAAGGCGCUCGCGAUCUUCAUCAAACUUUGCCUUGAGCUCUCGUAGCUGCGCAAUUUGUGCGGCUCUGUCUUCUUGUGGAGGGGGUCGAUCUGUCCGUCAUUCCCUGGCGUCCUGGGAUCUUCCCUUGCUGCAGGGGCUCACUAGCCUGCAACGGCGUCUUGUGUCUCGUCGGUGGUUUCCACCGCUCCGUCGAUAUGGAAGCACUCCCUAGUAGGGUCGUGGCUGUCAGAUUCUGAGCCGGAGUCCGGCUCGGCGGCGUAGAAGCAUCCGCGUCCUUCCUCCAGCAGCCGCCUCCUGAGGGAGGUAAUCGUGUACCGUCCAGGGCCCAGGCGGCGGAGGCCUUGUACCUGCGAGAAGUCUAUUAACUCGGAUGUCUGCCGCUGUGCUUCAGGGGCGCGUGGGAGGACCAUUGGUCUCUCCACGUACGUCUGGGCGUUUGGGCAUAUUGUCCUGGCGAGCGACGCCGCGGCAUUGUCCAAGCCGAACGGCAAUGCUCUUCUUGGGGUGAACAGCCCGUGUGGAAGUAGCCUGGCGGCGGGGGAGAGCACGCGGGGCGCGUCACCUCCUGUCGUCGCGUGAUCCUUGCAGUGCUGAGCCGUCAAGCUCACUAUUCCGGCGCGUGGGGCUGUCGACUCCUGCGUCACCUCCUGCCUGGCACGAACCGCCGGUCGCGAUGAGGCAGAGAGGCGACGGUGGUGCUGUCCACGCCUCUUCUUGAGUGGGGAGGCAUGGUGGCGAGGGCGUGUCGGGGCCUUUGACCGUGCUGGCGCAACACGGGCUCCUCCCGGUCCUUUGAUUGAGAGCAAAAUCAUGUCAUAGCUAGAGCCAGUAGACAUGAACUCGAGGCUCCUGAACCAAAUCACCGUGGAGCGCGGAAUCGGCGAAGCGAUAGUGGCCAUCUGGAAAGGAGUGGGAAAUCGGUGAAAAAACACACAGGACCCCUACCUGGCGCGCCAACUGUCGGUGUUUUCCCCACGGGGGGUCACACCAACAAGUGAAUUUGUAUGCGUGCUUCCGUUUCCCAGAUGGUGAUGCAAAAAGACAUAAAGAUUUAUCCUGGUUCGGGCAAGAGAAAGCCCUAUGUCCAGCGGGGGAGGAGAUUUUUUAUUAUUUUGCACCUAAGUGCUUGUACAGGGGUGAAUACAAGCGGGGUAUGGAGUGAGGCGGAGUAUGGAAGUUCUACUACGUAUGGGUGUGGUGUUACAUGAUGAUCUCGCGUUCACUCCCGGACCUCCCCUUUUAUAGUUCCAAGGAGUAGCCCGGGGUACAAGUAUAGGUAUCAGAGUAGGGGUCGAUAGAGGUAUGGCGCGCGGACCUACUCGAGGCCUCCGUACCGGCGUGGUCUCGAGCCGUCCCGUCCUGAUAGCUUGAUGAUGAUUACGCGUGCCCUGGUAUCCUGCUCUGCGUGCCGUCUUGGACUGGUUCAUUGGUGGCACGACUGUACGGUAUAGCGGCUGAUCCGUCGGAGUGGUUGCUGUGUUAACAUUCGACGUCCAACCCUUGCCCUGGAAGGAAACGGGUCUGGUCGAGGGUCGGCCGCCGUGUAGCGCCUCGCUAUCCAGAGCGUUGACCUUAGGUGUCUCGAGGGGGUCCCGAUUAGACGUUCCAUCCCUGCUUCCCACGUCCUGACAUGCUCUGGGUUGUUUGGUGGGUAUGGCUGCAAAAAGAAUGACGGGACGGGUGCCUGUUCCCUAUCACGCUUCCCGGGACUGGCGUGUUAGGUGGGAACACGACACGCGCAUUAAAUGCUCUGGUUCCCGUGCGCGCGUCAGGCGGCGGGCGGUGUCCUUGCGCUCGACGCCUCCUGGUUCGCUCGAGCUUGUUUCCGUAUUCGACGGUUGUUGGUGCUCAAGCCCUAUCCGAUUCGCUCGACGCCUUUUCCAUCUUCGAGGCUGCGGUUGUCGAUGAUUUGUACGUUUGACUGAACAGAGCCUCGAGUUGAGGGAUGUUGACACUAGCUAACACCACUUAGAUACUAGGUUGUCAUCCCUAGCAUGGCGCCAGAGUGUACAAAGGUAUUUAUAAAUGUAAAGGCUCUUUAGAAAAUAAUCUAUUCUAUCCGCAAGCGCAUAGAUAAAACACCUCAUUGUAGCAUAUCACCAGGAUAAGUAUUCCAGGUAUCGUUAUUUAUAAUUUUGCUCUAGGGAUCUAAGGAGAUAGAAUUAAAUCAAGGGACAAAAUAUAUCAAGGCAUAGACUAGAGAUAAACUUGCAAGAACAUGAUUACUAAUAAGAAACUCGUCACACAGUCACAUACUUUAGCAGGGGGUAAACCAUAAAGAUAAUGAUAAUAAAAUAUAAGUUCAUGGGAUAAAGAGCCCAGCGAUUAGAAAAUAGACUACUCCUCAUAUAUGUAGGUGAUGUCGGAUUAGCUAGAGAAUGGAUUCUAAGUUAUCUACUAACUACUAAGUCAUAAUCUACUCUAGUUAUCUACAAGAUCAUAUAUAGCAUAAAAGACUCUUCAUUCAUGUAUAAGGAACAUUGAGAAAGUAAAUCAGAACAUCGCAUGACUUACUCCACAAUACCGGUUCUGCCUGUCCUAUCAAUGGAGGGUGGACUAUAUAAGAAUCAACGAAGCUGUCACUAUCGCGAACUACCACACGACUCGGCCAAUAGGAUACAUUUGCAGAUAAAUAACAUCUAAGCACCACGCUCACAUGUGAUCUAUCACCUAACUCCCUCGCGUCAAGAGCUAAGCGCUUUGCAAACUUAUACAUAAACUCAUUAUCAAUUAGAACUAUAUCAAAUAUAGAACUAGAGCAAACUAAGAGCAUAAUAAUUAGAGACAUAAUGCAAUUAGAACAAUAGAAUUAGAGAAAGAUAUGAAUAAUACCAAUCUUUAUUACCGAAGAUCCGAAUCCAGAGCGUAGUGCUCUACUUCUCUAAUUGCUAUCUAAUCAACCUCUAAACUUGAAGGAUUAGGGAGUAGGUAAUUCUAAUUCUCUGUGGGAGAGAGAUCUAAACCCUAACAUUGAUGGCUACCUCUGAAUAAUGAUUUCUCCUCCUCUCCUCCUCUCCUCCAGGGGCCAGGGGGUCUGGUUUUAUAGUCCCCUCAAGUGAACGUGAGCCAUUGGAUCAAACCAACAUAAAUUGUUUGGUUUAGAUUGAUCCUUUAGGUCGGUGGAGUCUUGUCCCGAAGCAGAGUCCUGAUUGGCCUCUUGGCCCGGGCGGGCGCCCAAGGGGGGUGGGCGGCCGCCUAGCUCACGAGCCCGAUUCGCUUCCCGUUCGUUCCCGUGGCUUCUGGAUCCUUCUAGAUUGAGGAAAAUUGCGCGGCACGUAAUUAUCUCGUUGUAAACAUGACAUGUGGGCCUUCUCUCCAUAUUUUCUGAUAACUCCCUGCAGAAAUAGAUAAACACUAGAUGUUUGUUUCAUAUUGAUCCUUUUUCAUGUUUAUUUGAUUAUUAAUUUUAGUACUUAAGGACCGUCAACAAACUUCCCCAAGCUUACCCUUUGCUCGUCCCUGAGCAAACAGCUAAACUCAGACGGAUCAGGAGUUGCUUCGAUGUUUUCUUUCCUGACAGGCACACAUGCUUUUACAUAAAAAUUCUUCCAGAUUAGAGUGAGGUGUUAUGGAGUUUAGUACCUGCACUUAAAUCUUAAGUAAUCAAAAGACAAAAUAGUUAAGUCAAGCACUAUCCCUCCUGUCUAUACUUCACCUUUGUUCCAGAGUUUUUCAUAAGUUUUCAAAAUAAAACUCAGAGUUCCCAGCAAUGAUUCUCUCAAGUCUCUCUAUAUGUGGUAUUUGUGGAUCCUUACCAUAAUAUCACUUACCUAUAGCUAAUGGAAUAUUUAAGUGGAGCUCAUAGGAGUGAUAAACAGCUCAUACAUAUGUUGUCUAAUCGAGCCAUGGAUCCAAAGGAACUCAGCAUAUAAUUAAAUCAAGAUGUGCAUGUGUGAUGGAGUAAAUGAUAGUGAUGGUGAAAAUGCAUAAGUGAUAAUAAUAAAAUUUAGUUCUCAUUGCUCCUUAUAUUGCUAUCUCUCCUCUUCUUUGAUCUUUGCUUUGGGAGAACAUGGGCUAUCUUUUUCUUCUUCUCUUUUUUUUAAGGUGGGUAGUAGAUACCCCUAAUUCUACUGUCGGACACUUGUCCAUUUUUUCCGCUCAAGUGGGCAUCUUUGUACCCCUAAUUCUACUCCGGACACUUGUCCAUUUUUACCUCUCGUCUCACUCUUUUUCUUUCUUUUUCGAGGUUCCGGGCACUUGCCCCUUUUUAUUUCCUCGUAUAUUUUUGCAUAACCCAUGCCUCUUCUGCAUUAAAUCUUUUUAGAGAGAGAAUAACAAUAUUCGGGACAGUGAGUGAUUAUAUUUUUAGCAAUUUUAAUGAUUGGUGAUGAAUGCUGUGGUAGAUGUGUGCAAGUGAAUAUCUUAAUUUAACCACAUGAAAAGCUCCUAAGGGUCAACACAGCUCGGUCAAACUCAAUGUGAAUAUAGUAAAAGAUGUUAUAGCAAGUGUGGCUGUGGUAGGUAGUUUGCAAUGCUAGGAACUCAUCAUGUGAUUUGUAAGUUUUCAAAAUAAAUCUCUAGAACUUAGUGUAGUAGGAACAAGAUAAACAGUAGCUCAACUUUAUAUCAUGCCUUUCUCUUACCUAGACUUUAGUUUUAUGCUUCCCAAAGAUAGUAAGUUUCAGUUUUAGUAAUUCCUGGAAGAAUUCUAAUAUAAAAGCUAGGUACUUGAAAGUAAGCAAACAGAGCAACUGUUCAUCAUUUCCAUCUUGCAUAUUUUUGGUCUUUUAUUUUUUUCUAGAGAUUGAACUUAGCAGGUAAAUAAAGCACACUUAUCUACACACUCUUUUUUAUUUUGUUUUCAUGUUUAUAAAGUGCAGUAAAUUAAAGCAAGAAAAUAUUUAUUUGGUUUUCUAAGUUUUUUUUCCUUUUAAGAUAAAUUAAAUACUAAGACAGAAUAGAAUAAAUAAGAAGAGCAAAUAGAAACUUACUUGAUAAAUUGGGGAGAAACUCCCCCAAGCUGGAUGUUGACGUCGGUCUUACCUGAUGUUCCAGAACCGCAUCAUGGUUGUGAUGUUGUCGUUCAUUGUUGUUGUAUCUUGUCUCAGCUCUUCUACUGCAGCUGCAUGGUCCUGGUUCCAUUUUUGGUGCUCUUCCAGGAGUCUUCCAUGUUCUGCUUGCGUGUUUUGGAUGUCGAGGAGGGUGUUGUCGGUACGAGUGAAGAAAGCACCGGCCUCUUGGUAAUAGUCAUUCGUGAAGGCGUAGGAGGCAUCGGAGUAUCAUCCUGCAUCAACUUGGGGUGGAGGUCUGGAUCCUGAAGCUCCAUAUGGAUCAGUGGAGUACCUGCCCGUAUGAAAAGUCGGGUUUGUCCACUGGUGAUCUUGUCUCUCCGGCCAUGUCUCCUCUGUUGGCUCUUGUGGUUGCGCAUGACGAGCCCAUGGGUCUCGAAGGACUCGAGGGUUGUAAUCGCAAUAAUGCAGGUGCGCUGCUUCUUCUGGUCCAGGGUCAGCUCCAUACCAAGUGCGUUCUCGGUGAGUGGUUAUCCUUUCAGAUGCCACUCGCUGUGGAGUUCUCUGGUUCAGUGGUGUUGCUGCAAUUUCAAUCAAAAAGUUUUGCACAGAGUAGAGGCCAAGGUUCGGGUUAGGUAACCGAAUCUUGCCUUUAUCAUCAUACAGCAUAUACAUUAUGUUCCCCUCUUUCUUUAACAUCCGAGCUUGUCUAAAUGUGUCAUAGGCAUGAUAAAUUCUUAAUUCUUCUAUGAAGUCCAACGAUGAAUUUUCUAGUAAGUGAAGAUUAGAGGCUAGACGAGUGAUAAGUGAAGUACAUCCUACUGGUCCCUGAAGACUAGGUAUACUAAGCCAAUGUGAAACUAAUAGUGUAACAGGUGAAGUGGGUACUUUACUAAUAGCAGCAUAUAAAAGUUGUAAAUCUCCUACUCUUACUUUCCUAAUAUCAUCACGAUAGAAAAGAUUGUACCCAAGCCAUUUGUGAAACAUCCUAAGAGUGGGGUGUUCCAUGUCACUGGUUCGGGCUUGACUAUAAAAAUUAUCUCUAGAUAUUUCUCUCCAAAACUGGUGUCUCUCAAAGUUGGGUAAAUCGGAGUCAAUGUUCAGGAUGCAUCUUGAAGAGAAACCAAGAUGGUCGCUCAGCUCUCUCCAAGAUAACAUAAUUUCCUGUUUAAACAUCCGAAAAACAAUUCCCCCCUCAUAGUAUUGUAAGGUGCAAAGAAAUUCGAGGGUGAGAAGACGAGAACCCAGUUCGGUUAUAUUCCAAAAAUUUGUCCAACCCAUCAUUUGAAAAAUUAAGUCAAAUUCAGUGUCCAUACCUGUUUCUCGUAGUAGGAUUGGAUCGAUAGUAGGGGUGUGAAUGAAAUCUUUGUUCUUCAGUUGCUGAUAGACUUCCUUCUCUCUUCGGGUCUUCAGUCCUAGGUCUCCUAUCUUGAGAAGGACCUUAACUUGAUGACCUGAUGAAGAUGACGGAGCUUGUGUGGGUGUCGGAUCGACGCUCAUCUCUGAUGGCUGUGAGUAGUGUCGGGCGGAACUCCUUGUACCAAUGUUCUUGAGAGCCUUCCCUGCAUUCUUCACCUUCUUAAACAUCCUGCAAACAAAAGUUGGCAAAAACACAACUAGUGGAAAAUGUGAGAUAAAAUGUUAGUAGUCAGCCGUCCGGAGUGUCAGUAGUCCAGAGGUUAAUCGUUCAAGACAAGUUUCUAUUUUGGUAGAGCCUCCCCCUAAACAACUUUUACUUCCGCUUAGACAACGAGAUCACUACUUGCUAGGUGACAAUCACUCUCUCAAAAGAACUCCAACCUUCCCUUCCACUCUCCUCUUUCUCUCUACUCUCUUCUCUUCACUACAAAAGCUCCUUCUCGGGAGACUGAGAUUUAUGUGGUUUUCUGAAGUGUUUGUGUGAAGAGAAGGGAAGCUGGAGGUGGCCUUUUAUAGGCUGAGCAGGGGACAGGGCGGGCGCCCAAGGUAGGUGGGCGGGCGCCCACCCCUGGUGUCCAUCCUGGGUGUGCCUCAUCCACAUGCUUCCUUGCUUUGAUCUCACGCAGAAUAAUAUUGUGUUGGUAGCGGUUGGACGGUGGAAAGAUGUCAGGUGAGUGGAAACAUAUUGGUGGAUGAAAUUAUGUGAUGGGAUGUAUGUGAGGUGAAGUGUAUGACAUGUGGGACCCAAGGAGUGUGGGUCAUGCUUCUAGAAGAUCAAUAUAAAUAAAUAUAAUGCAAGAAAAUCUAUGAGAAUUGAAACUUAAUGAUAAUGGGAAAUAUUUUUGUGCCUCCAAAAUAAUUAAUAAAUAUGGGUUGUUACACACCACGAAUAUUAUUUAUAUGGGGCUUUUUGAUUAUUAUAAUUAUGCUAUGAAUAUAUAUGACUAAUGCAAGAUUUAACUAUGCAAGAAUUUAAAUAUGAGAAACUUAAUAAUGCGGGUAAAUACCGAUUUACCUCCCGGUGAGGGUUUGGGAUUUUUUAGGUCCCCCAAGCUAGACCUCCAAAUCUUUUAAUCUUCUUAGUUACCUUCCUCCGGAGAUGGUGUCUUCAGUAGUUCUUCAUGUUCUUCAUGAACUUCCUUCACUGUAGAGUCUCUCUCUGGUCUGGGUUUGAAUGUGAAGUGUUCUUCUUGUCCGUUUAUGUUGAACUUGAUUUCUCCCUUCCCAACAUCAAUGUGGGCAUUGGCAGUGCUCAGAAAUGGCCUUCCAAGGAUGAUGGACACUUUCGAGUCAGGACUCAUGUCCAGUACUACGAAGUCUACUGGCACCAGGAAAUCUCUGAUCUUGACUGGAAUGUUCUCGACGAUGCCCAACGGGUGUCGAACCGAUUGAUCCGCUAGUUGUAGGCACAUUGAUGUUGGUUCUAAGGUUGCAUGAUCAAGCUUUUUGUAGACUGAUGCUGGCAUCACACUGACACUUGCUCCGAGAUCACAAAGUGCAUUGUUGAAGUGUUGGUUUCCAAUCGAGCAAUCAAUAGUGGGGCAUCCUGGAUCUUCCUUCUUCUUUGGUGGUUUGUUGAGGAUGGCCGCACUACAUUCUUCUGUCAGCUUGAUAACCUCAGUGGUGGGCAGUUGUCUCUUCUUGUUAAGAAUAUCUCUGAUGUACUUUGCAUAUGUAGGUACCUGUAUGGCAUCGAGCAGAGGUAUGUUGACAUAUAAUUUCUGAAUGACCUCUACAAACUUACCAAACUGCUCAUCCGACUGCAUUCCUCUGUUUCUUCUGGGAAAUGGCAAAUAGUUGGUGUCGUAAAAAUCUUUCCUCAUUUCUCCAUUUCUUGGUAGUUGUAGCAGAUCUUCUGCUUCAACUGGGCUUUCUUCUUCUAUCACUGCUGGUUGCACUGGUGCUGAUGUUCUUUGUUUCUCUUUUGGGUAUGGUGGAUCUCUAGUGGCUUUGCCUCCUCUAGUAGUUAUAUUCUUUACCUGCUCAAGGUUAGUAGCAACAGGCAGUGCAGCAGCUAUCUUUAUUAAUUUAAGCUCUACCUUUUUAUUAAGAGUGUUUUGCUCAUCAAAGGCAGUUAGUAAAAAAUCCAUUUUAUUGUGUAUAUCUUUUAGAGACGAUUCAUUUGUAUCUAGCCUUUGUUUAACUUCAUCAUUUAUUUUGGUUUGUUGAGCAAUUAUCUCUUUUAAUGAAAGUUGCUUGAUAGUAUUACCUGAAUUCAUACCUUUGCUAUUGGGUUGACUCGAAGUUGGUUGAUAUUUGUAUGCUGUCUCAAUGGCCCUUUGAUCUUCUUUGAACUUGGCCCUCUGGUCAAUCCAAUGGAGCAAAUUUUCCAUCUUAGUUGAUAAUGCAUUUACUUCUUCUGGUAUUUCUUCAGUUUGAUGACAUUGUUGAGCUUUAUCUUGGAACCAGCUUUGGUUUUCUGCUAUCUUAUCCAAAAGUAUCUCUGCUUUUCCAGUUGUAAGCUCCAAGAAUGAUCCUUUAGCAGAUGCAUCUAGGCACUCACGAGUCUUAUGGGUUAAUCCAUGAUAGAAGGUCUGCAUAAGUAACCAUGUAGCCAUUCCAUGGUGAGGACAAUAUGAUAUGUAUCCUUGAAAACGCUCCCAUGCUUCUGAAAUGGCUUCUGUCUUCUGCUGUUGGAAACUGACAAUAUUUCCUCUUAAGGCAGUUGUUUUGCCUAUAGGGAAAAACUUUGAUAGGAAGGCAUCUGACAAGUUCGUCCAGUUGUUGAUGUUAUCUUGAUGAGUGUAGAACCACUUCCUCGCUUUCCCUUCUAGUGAGAAUGGAAAAAGGCGAAGUAGUAUGACGUCUUUGUCAACUCCGUUGAUGUGGAUUGUGCUUCCAAUUUCUAAGAAAUUCUGCAAGUGUGCACUAGCAUCUUCAUGUGCAUUUCCACUGAAUUGUUUAGCUUGUACCAAAUUGAUGAGGCUUGACUUGAGCUCAAACUCGGGUAUUCCUUCUUCUACUGCAAAUCUUGGACCGGUUGGAAUGUUCUCAAGACUUGGAGCAGAGAAUUCUUGCAAGGUCUUGUGUGUCAUAGCUUCAACAAUUGGUAGCUAGCUUCUUCUUCUCUUGAUUGCUUUGGUUCUGAUGAUGAAGAGUUAAAUGUACCCAGAGUCAAUCCUGUUAUACCCUGUAUAAAAAUAUAAACAUAGAAAAACAACAGGGUGAACCUGCCAAAGCAGAGGUGCCUUGUUAUGAUUUCUCACUUAGUAGCUGUUUUAUGCAAUUAUUUCUCUAUAGUCUAGUCUAAUAUUUUAUAUGAAUAACCUUGACUGAUUUUCUGGCUUCCUUAAUAUUACCCUUUUGUUCCCUUUUAUGACUUAUUCCUGAGAUUCGUAUAAUUCCUAUAAGUUCCCCGGCAACGGCGCCAGAAAUGCUUGUUGACACUAGCUAACACCACUUAGAUACUAGGUUGUCAUCCCUAGCAUGGCGCCAGAGUGUACAAAGGUAUUUAUAAAUGUAAAGGCUCUUUAGAAAAUAAUCUAUUCUAUCCGCAAGCGCACAGAUAAAACACCUCAUUGUAGCAUUUCACCAGGAUAAGUAUUCCAGGUAUCGUUAUUUAUAAUUUUGCUCUAGGGAUCUAAGGAGAUGGAAUUAAAUCAAGGGACAAAAUCUAUCAAGGCAUAGACUAGAGAUAAACUUGCAAGAACAUGAUUACUAAUAAGAAACUCGUCACACAGUCACAUACUUUAGCAGGGGUAAACCAUAAAGAUAAUGAUAAUAAAAUAUAAGUUCAUGGGAUAAAGAGCACAGCGAUUAGAAAAUAGACUACUCCUCAUAUAUGUAGGUGAUGUCGGAUUAGCUAGAGAAUGGAUUCUAAGUUAUCUACUAACUACUAAGUCAUAAUCUACUCUAGUUAUCUACAAGAUCAUAUAUAGCAUGAAAGACUCUUCAUUCAUGUAUAAGGAACAUUGAUAAAGUAAAUCAGUACAUCGCAUGACUUACUCCACAAUACCGGUUGUGCCUGUCCUAUCAACGGAGGGUGGACUAUAUAAGAAUCAACGAAGCUGUCACUAUCGCGAACUACCACACGACUCGGCCAAUAGGAUACAUUUGCAGAUAAAUAACAUCUAAGCACCACGCUCACAUGUGAUCUAUCACCUAACUCCCUCGCGUCAAGAGCUAAGCGCUUUGCAAACUUAUACAUAAACUCAUUAUCAAUUAGAACUAUAUCAAAUAUAGAACUAGAGCAAACCAAGAGCAUAAUAAUUAGAGACAUAAUGCAAUUAGAACAAUAGAAUUAGAGAAAGAUAUGAAUAAUACCAAUCUUUAUUACCGAAGAUCCGAAUCCAGAGCGUAGUGCUCUACUUCUCUAAUUGCUAUCUAAUCAACCUCUAAACUUGAAGGAUUAGGGAGUAGCUAAUUCUAAUUCUCUGUGGGAGAGAGAUCUAAACCCUAACUUUGAUGGCUACCUCUGAAUAAUGAUUUCUCCUCCUCUCCUCCUCUCCUCCAGGCGCCAGGGGGUCUGGUUUUAUAGUCCCCUCAAGUGAACGUGAGCCAUUGGAUCAAACCAACAUAAAUUGUAUGGUUUAGAUUGAUCCUUUAGGUUGGUGGAGUCUUGUCCCGAAGCAGAGUCCUGAUUGGCCUCUUGGCCAGGGCGGGCGCCCAAGGGGGGUGGGCGGCCGCCCAGCUCCCGAGCCCGAUUCGCUUCCCGUUCGUUCCCGUGGCUUCUGGAUCCUUCUAGAUUGAGGAAAAUUGCACGGCACGUAAUUAUCUCGUUGUAAACAUGACAUGUGGGCCUUCUCUCCAUAUUUUCUGAUAACUCCCUACAGAAAUAGAUAAACACCAAAGCUCGUGGAAUUCUGUCAGAUAAAACCCUAAUUCUAGAUGUUUGUUUCAUAUUGAUCCUUUUUCACGUUUAUUUGAUUAUUAAUUUUAGUACUUAAGGACCGUCAACAAGGGCCUCGACCUGCGUAUGGUCAAUCUCGUUAUGUACAUCAGUUAGGAUACCCCUUACUGAUACCCUCGACAGUAUCAAAUGCUUGAUCUAAGUCUAGGUAGUUGAUGGAUAAGAUAUGGGGAGGUUUUAAGCUACUAUCAGUCUUGCUCCUUGAGAUGCUAGAGUUCUCGAGAAUUUGAGUCAUGAGGAGGAAAGACCAACUCCUAUAGCUGAUCCAACCAAAUUCUUCAUCGCUCUACAUGUUGGUUUGCAAUCUCUAAAUUAGAUAAUUUUGAGUUGAUUCACAAUGCCUAUAUUUUAGAAUCAAAACAUAAGAUAAAGUCAAUCCUUUAGGAAGAAGUAAUUGUGAAUAAUAAAUGUGCUAUGCUAAGUAUGUUGAAGCAAGUUAUUUCUUGUAGCAUAGAAAUUGACCAUUAGCUGUGUUACAACAAUGCCCUUGUCAUUACAUGUAUAUUCCAUUGGGUAUGUGUUGUCCACUAAUGAUUUGUAGGGAUAAAAUAAUAAGAAGAGCUAAAGGUCCAUGCACAAACUAGAUAAACAAAUAAGGGCAUAAGGUAAAAAAGGAGUACAACAAAGGAGAGCGGCUGUCCAUGGCACAUGAUUAGCCAAGCAAGGGAUGCUUCCACGAGAUGUUAUGGCUUCAACAUGCUUUAAUAAUAAAGGUAACAUCUCUUGGUAAGUGAUCAUUGCUUCAAAAAUAUCCCCAUUGUUUCUGGCAUGCAGAUAAGAAGAGAGCCAAACAUGUAUUGAGUUACAACCUCAUUAAAUCCAAUCUAAUUAACUCAAUAUGUUCAGUUCUUUAUGCUUGUUCUUAGCGUCACUUUUUGGGUCUCAUAGAUUUUAAUUCAAUGAUGUGAAAUGUUGCACAUCCUAUCUUUGGAAGAUGAUAGUCUUGACCAUGAAGUUAUAUGCAUAGGUAGACUAUCCUUCCAUAAGGUUGAGUAAUCUGAUCUCCCAAAUGUAUUUAAUGCCACAUUUCUACUCAUUGCUUGAUGCUAUUGCCCAAUUUUAGAUAGAGCAUAACACAUGAAUAACAACUUUAUCUCGUUCAAUGUGCCUAAUGUUAGGGAAUAAUGAACAAACCUUUUUGGUUCUGUUAGUGUUUUCCCACCAAUGGAACCCAAGCACUUGAUCUCUACCUUGUUUCUAUGAGCAGGGCACAUUUUAGUCAACUCAUUAAGAAUCCUACAAAGUGAAGAUCCUAGACCUAUGAACAUGCACACUGAGUGAAGAUGCCACUAGCUCCUAGAACUAGUACUUGACUCCAACCUAUUGGAAGAGCAAUAAACAUGGGUGAUAUCAUCUUAAGAGGUGCAACUAUCAUGGUCUCUACCUUUGGGACCAGAUAAAGCACCUAAGGAAUUAACAUGGUAAGAGGUCAUGUUUGGAGGACCUAAAACAGCGAACACCGUGCCAAGAGAUAACUUGGUAGUUAUCAACAUUUCCGUUUUUAUUACUAUAGAAUUUUUCUUUAGCAUAUUUACUUUCCCUUAAAUACAUAAUUAGUUGCAUAUCUACUUUACCAUUUCAGCAUUAGAAAAAGAAAAUAUAAAUAUGUCAUGGAUUGCAUCUAGAAAAUGCUAAGCCCCAUGUAUUUAAUGUGUGAUGCACUUGCCCACACACUCAUCUACUAUGGUGGCAUAAAAAUAAAUUUCUGCAUAUUUAUUUUCUUGUCUGCAUACCAUGAAUAUAAAAAGUAUAAAAAUAUAUUGAUCCUGCUAGAAGAUAAAUGGGUAUAAGGAAGUUUUAGACUCCUAAGUCUUAAAGGUUUAUUACUAACGCUUAAUCAGAUGCACAAGCUUUGUUGUCUAUUUGAGCUUCAAAGUCUUCCAAGGAUAAAAAAUAACUAGCAGGCAAAAGAACGUCCUGUCCGCUGUUGGAGUACUGUUCACAGAAGGCAAGUGAUGUUUCUAACAGCAAGUUACCCAAGACACUCUUGGAGGAUCAGUACGCCUUCACUGCCUGUAAGCGACAUCAGCAGACUAUGUCAACAUCCAACUUGGGGGAGAGCAACCCCCAUAUACCGAGAUAAGUAUCUCUUACUUAUCCAUUUAUUUCUAGUGCAUUUAUGAAAAGAUAAAAAGAUGAAUAAUCUUAGAAACCCAAUAAAUAUUUUAUCUUUCAUAAUUAGUUUUUGCUAAGGAGAGCUCUUAAUGAAUCUAUUAAAAUGAAUCUCUAGAAUAAACUCUUAUACGGAAAUGAUGAAUUGUUGUUAUGCCAUAAUUCCUUGCAAAUACCUAGUUUUCAAUCUUGUACUCUCUUGAGUUUUAGACACAACUAUUUAGACUUAAGAUUUUGCUCUGAGCCUGAAACUUGUGGGUAUCAAAUGCUUGAUCUAAGACUAGGUAGUUGAUGGAUAUGAUAUGGGGAGGUUUUAAGCUGCUAUCAGUCUUGCUCCUAGAGAUGCUAGAGUUCUCGAGAAUUUUAUUUUGAAAUUCUUAUAUGGCUACAUGAGGAGAUCUUUUAUGUCGAGAGUUUAAAAUUCAUACCAAAGCCAAAUACUCAUGCUUACUAAAUUAAAAUAGUCUCCCACGUAUAUUUCAACCUAUAAGCAUUGAGGGUAGUUAAGCUGCGUAGACCCUAAAGAACUAGUCAUGCAGUUAAAGUCGAUAUUAUGUGCUGUCCAUCCAUUGACCUUAGCUACUUCUGUCCCCAGAAGUAUGCAACCACUUACUUCCACUAUGUCCACUAUGUGCUACUUCUAUUCCUCGGAGUACCACCCACAUAUACACACUACACUCUGUGUUGUUUCUACCCUAGAGACAUGCACCUAUGAAGCUCCAACCUUGGGAGUACGCAUUCAUUCACCCAUACACAUUCCACAUCCACUUAGAAAAUGUUCUACUCCUACACUGGGAGAAGACACCCAAAAAUAUUCAAUGUCUUAUUCUACUUAUCCAAUAAAGCUACAGAUAAUUCAUUUGAUAUUCCCUACUGUUAUCAGUGCAUUAAAAGGGUUGGCUGAUCUCUAAAAACAGAUAGAAAAAAGAAAGAGGACAAAAAGUCCCAAUUCAAAAGAAAAGAAAGACAGCUAAGUCCUUGUUCUCAUAUUAGGAAGGUAUGUUAUCCACAAGGAGCAAAUGUAGGAUUAGAUAUUCACCAGCAAUCAUCACCCCUCAUUUUUUAUCAUUCUUAUCAUUUACUACACUCACAAGCACAUAUGAUUUGAUUGUAUAAUUAGUUUCUCUGGAUCCAUGCUUUAACUAUGCAAUACAUGCAAGUAGGUUUGAAUUGUCUUUUCCCACCUAUGAGCUCCACAUAAGCAAAUUAGAAGUAGGAUGAGAGAGAGAAGGCAGUUAUGUCGUAGUGAUAUAAAUACCAUAUUCUGAGAGAAGGCAUAGUCAAUUGCCUUGGAGAGGAUCCAAAAAUAUUACAUAUGAGCAAAAGGUAAGCUUGGGGGAGUUUGUUGAUGGUCACUAAUGCACUUUUUUAUCCAUCAAUUAUUUCUUGAUAUGACAUGAUAUGAACUACAAAGCAUAGUUGUAGGGUUUGAAACUAACAAGCUCGAUGAGUUUUGGUGAAUCUAUGUUUUAUAGGGGUUAAAAUGGAAAUGGACCAGAAUCACCAAACAGAAGUAACUUAAGUGAUGAAUUGGAGAACACCAUUGUGAAGAGCUCGUCAAGACAUAUGAAAUAGAGUUUUGAUUCACCCAAAUUGGAGUCCAUAUGACAAAGUUACGCCUUCCAAAAGAUUGCAAAUGGGCUUCUAGAGCAUUCCAGAUUAAAUUGGGCAUAUCUCCCUCAUUCGGACUCUGUUUUCUGUGAUCCAAUGUUUUUUGGAAAGCUAAUGAAAAGAUCUAUCAACCCUAAAAAGUGGGUCCAAUUGGUAGAGACCAAGGGGCAGGCGCCCGCGUGUCAAGGGCACCCACCCGGCGAGCUGGACCAGUGAGGGUGAACCUUGCGGAUCCUGGCUCCACCGCCUUUGAGGAGUAAUAUUGAGCGUAUAUUUAAUUCCCUUUGAUUUGAGGGCUAUGGUGCUUCCUAGGGGGCUAUAAAUACAUGCCUGACCCCCCUUAGGGCAUCUCCUUCAUCUUCUUCAUUAGCUACAUCCAGAGCAAAAACUAGGAUUUCAUCAAGUAGAGAAGUAGAGGUCCCUCUAGUUCAUCUAGUUCUAGUUCUAGUUAAUCUAGUACUAGUUCUAGUUGUCUAGUUGUAUCUAGAUUAGAGGGAGGAGAAGAGGAGAGAGCCAAGGAGGAGCUGGAUCUAUCGGAUCUUCCUCAACAUUAUAUAUUCGCAGCAGCCAGUUCGUCUUUGGUUAAUCUCUAGGUACUUCAAUUUAUAAUUCCAAAGUUCUUUAUUUAAUCUUCAUAUUUACUUUUAAGUUAUUUAUUGGAUUCCUGUCUACAUCGAGUGCUCUAGUUCUUAGCGGUGCUAGAGUAGUAAUUUAUAGGUUAAGCGUGGUACUUAGUUUUGCAAUUACCUAGAAUUGUACCAAAUCCAAUGUAUUGUUGUGGUAGCGCUAGGAUCACAACAAUCAUGACGGCCAACGCAUUCCACCAUGUUCACAUUGAUGUUGUAGGACUGUAGUUAGAGCUUCCUAGCCUCCAUCUCAUCUUUUUAUAUGGUUUGUGUUCUGAUGUCCCAUGAUAAGUAACCUUAGAGUAAAUCCUGAUUCCUAGAUCAACCUAUAGAACUCUUAGGAAAAUUCUUCUCUACCCUACAAAAUUAUAUAUAUAGUUAUCCUUGGGUGAUCUAAAACUCAACUAGUACACUUCACGUUCCCCGUGGAAAAUCGAUACCUUGGAAUACUUCCGGGUGAAAGCUACUUCGGUAUCCGUGCGCUCACGGAAUUUUCUAUGUGCAUUUAAAUACCCAACACUCUCCUUCUAUGGCAUCACUUGACAUGCCAUCCUUGAGUCUUUCUAGUUGCCCUUCAAAGGGAUUGGAUUUGAAAAGCUUCCUAAGAAAUCUCUUUUGAAGAUUCAAACUAUAAGCACUAAAACAUCUCUUAUGAAGCGUGAAGUUUAAACUCCUCCCAAAAACUUUUUGAUGGUGAAUUUGGAGUACUACUUGUUUGGGAUGGAUAGCCAAAUCAUGGGAUUGGAAUAUUUGCAAAAUGGGUAUAAAAACUUCCACUUCUAGUUUGGGGAAUGAUUCCUUCUCUCCUUCUAGAAUUUCAUCAUGAAGGCUAGUGCAAGGAGUGUGCCCACUAAUAAGGACAACCCUCACCUCACUAAUGGGUAGAGAAAGGAAAACCCCUCCAAAGGUGAUAUUAUCAUGACCCAUAUAAAAAUGUUGGACAAGGAUAGGGUCUUGUAAGGGUAGGUCUAAACCUAUAUUUAUAGGACGAUUAAAAGAUUCCCUAAGUGUAGCCAAAAGUUCAUUACCGAUUAGAUGAGAAGAUAUGGCUUUCGCUAUAGAAGAGGGUUGGUUUUGACCUAUUGCAACCAAACAUGAGCAUAGCUCAUAGCUAGAUGUGAAAAUCAUGGGCUCUAGUGGCUCUAAGCUUGUGCUCAUGGGUGCAACAUAUUGAUAAAUGGGUGUGGAAUUUAGGUUAUUGUUGGAAAGAAGUGAUAAAAUAAAAAGGUGGUAAAUGAAAAGAAAACUUGGAUGAACUUGGUUUCAUUCUAGAAUAGCUACCAUUUCCCAAGAACAGCGCUAGCAAACUUAUUAUGUAUUUUAAACACAUAGUAAAAUCCGCAAGCGCACGGAUACCGAUGUAGCUUUCACCUAGGAGUAUUCCAAGGUAUCGAUUUUCCACGGGGAACGCGAAGUGUACUAGUUAAGAUUUAGAUCACUCAAGGAUAAAUAUAUUUAUAAUUUUGUAGGGUAUAGAGGUGUUGAUACUGUUUUUAGGUAUGAGUCAAGAUGGUUAAGGAGAAUUGAUCGGUAGUGGGGAGGUUGCUGUGCUAGAUCGACAGAAGAGUGCUGAUAGCCGAUAUGGAUGAUGUCGAUGAUGCAAUGAUGACUACUUGUUGUUGUUGAUGAGACUUAAGGUCGCCGAUGCCGAUGGAGGAAAUUAUGAAAAGUUUUGCAGAGGCAUAUAUGCGCCGAUGGGACGAAAGCCAAUGAAGACUUGAAACAAAAUCCGAGGAAGACUUGAAGCAGGAAUCAUUGAAGACUUUAUCAUAGUUAGGAGGGACAUCGGAAUAGAUAAUUAUUAUUUCUUUUUCCAUAAUUGUCUAGAUAGGCCUUAUAUGUAAGAGUCUUGUUUACUUCAGUUGAAUCUUAGUCGUGUUCGAUUGAAACUCUUAGGGGCUAGGGUACAAAUAUAAACCCAACGACAAUGUAAUAAGGAGUCAAUCAAUCAAUACCAAAACACAAGUUUUACAUCUACAUUUACACCUAGUUUUCGAUGACUUCGUCAACUCGCAUACUUUUUCUGUUUACGAGUUCUCAAGGAUUCAAAGCGAGUCACACUUGAUGAUUGCUCGAGUUCCACGUAAGUACCUCUUGGUCGUGACAUCCGGGUGCAUCGAUGUUGUCAGGACCUAAGUAUUCAAGUUAGAACCUAUGUCGAUUGCUAUGUCAAAUCGGCUGGCACGCCUUGACAUGAAAAUUGGGUAUUAGCCUUUAUGUUUGUAGAUCUAUUUUUGCAUCAACACAUCUUUUGGCACGCGCGGUGGGACUCACCAUUAACAAUGUUCAACAUGGCUACUUCUGAUCUCAACACGGACAGCGUCAUCGGUGUGACAGAAGCCGAUCUCACAGAAUAACAAAAGCAAGCUAUGGAGAGGGCUAUGGAGGAAUACAGAUAGCUCCUUUGAAAUCCUUCAGCGUGAACAGGAGUGGAGAAGUUAUCCAGAAACAAGAUCUACCAUUGCCUCGGCAGGUUACCUUUGUUCCCAAUUCUGGUAAAUUGCAAGACAUGGUUAAUACUACAAUAAUCAUGCUUUGAUUAAUCACUCUAAUGUGUUGUCCAAUACUGUUUACAAUGUUGUGGUCCAAACUUUCAAAGAACGAUAGACACCACAACUUUAUGCUAGCCUGGCCUAUCAUCAGCCAGGAUUAUCAUCGGUUGUGGCUCCGUCUGCUCCUUCAGCCAUCGCGGGUACAGAGGUUACUUCCCCUCCAAGCACAGCGGGAUUGGUUAAUGAGCAAUCUACACCGAUGAGAUCUAAUCCAAUGACUUCAGGGGGAUGGGUCCAGCUCAACACAGAUCUAUCGGCAUCGGCUAUGUUAGGGUCUGUAUAUCAGAACUGUCAGGUUCCUCUCAACUGGUGGGGAUAUGGUAUGUCUCCAAAGUUUUUCGCACAUAGUUCUAGCACAUCUCAGAUAACUAACUUAGCAGGGAAGACUCCCAUGCCAUCAGUGCCUCUAGUCUCACCGAUGACUCAGGUACCCCAGUAUUCCACAACAACUACUGCAAAGCCAAUUCCUUGGAAUUUUCAGAUGUCAACGUUCCAGAUGCCUAAUGCAAGCUCAUCGACAAAUCCAUUGCCGAUGCAAUAGAGGUUUAUAUCUCAGGUGGGUUAUGUCAAUCCAUCAAUGACAACUAAUUAGCAGCCAUCGAUAGAUCUUGCGCCGAUGAAUGCCAACAGUGGUUGGACAGGGUAGUGGGUCUUUCCACACACGGCGCAAUAGAAUCAUCAGGUUGUAGGAAUACAACAGGGUCGUAUGCAGGCCGGCUUUCAUAAUCAGGCACUGGCAAUUCAAUCAACGAAUCUUGCUUAGCAAAUCGGUGGUCCACGAGCUAUGGCUAAUAUGAUGCUUGCUGAAAAUCGUGUGCCCCAUAGACACGUGGAAGCAUAUCAACAGGUACCAGAAGUUCAACCGGUACAUCGGUAAGAUGCCGAUGCCUAUUGGGCUGAUAAGAAAGCAAACGUUAUGAGAGGUCAGUUUGGAAUAAAACCCAAGGUUAAUACUUACUCUUAUCGUACGCCAUAUCCUCCUUCAUAUGAUUUAAUUCCACUCCCAAAUCGGUAUAAAGUACCAGACUUUACUAAAUUCUCUGGACAAGAUGACACCUCAACCAUGGAGCAUGUCAAUCGGUUCAUCAUUCAACGUGGAGAGGCUGCCAACAGAGAUGAAUUAAGGGUUCGCUUAUUUUCAUCAUCCUUGUCGAGAUCAACUUUUACCUGGUUUAUUUCAUUACCUCCAAAUUCAGUCAUUACCUAGGCCGAUAUAGCGAAACAAUUUCAUAAGUGUAACAGAACCAUCCAAUUUAUAAGAAUUCAAGUGAAUUAGCGACCACAAAGUAGUCAAGCCAAUGGACUUGAACCCAUAUAAACCCGGUAGUCCGACGAAAUCUCGGAAGACCUCGAUUCAACCAACAUACAACCAAGAUCGUACAUGAUCAAGCAUCACCAUCACAGAUUACAUCCAUUCGUCACAGAACAUAGUUUUACAACACAUCAGAGUUUAAAAGAGGUUAUUACAAACCAGAUUAGUAGCGGAAACAAAGUAGUUUUAGAACAUCACACACUCAGUUUAAAUUACAUGCCAGCUCCAUGGUCAAACCCAACAAAAGCACAGCUGAAGAUAGAGAACGUGAUCACGCCCAUGAUCUACUCAUCGUCCGUAGCCGGAUGAUGACAGUUAGCACAAUAGUUGUGAUAAACAACAUCAUCUGCAACAGGGGUAAAUAAAACCCUGUGUACGAGAAGGUACUCAGCUAGACUUACCCGUCAUAAACCAGAAAUAAAGUGACACCAAGGAGUAUGCAAGGCUGAUCUUUGUGGACUGGUUUGACUCACCUUUUUGCAUAAAAAGCCUUUGUUGUAAGUAACUCAUUUAUAAUAUUUCAGUAGCAGGUUCAUUACUUAACAACUAUCCACUAGAUUAGCACCUGUUCUAAGCAUACACUUGAGUAUUUAAGCAUCACAAUAAUAACCAUAUCCGGAUUAUCACAUAGCUAUCAACUUUCUCAUCAUAACCAUUAAGUUUAUUUAGUGAGUUCUACGUUGACACUGCCCGAGUCAAGUUCUCACUAUCCGGGAGAGACGGCGAUUCGAAUCGAUUCCUAUCCAGCUGGAGGGGCAUUCCUAGCACUCACCCAAGCAUACUUCAUGAGGGCAGCUCGGAUCACCUUUAGCACAACUCCGGACCAAUUCGCGGGUCCGUCCAGCGCCGCACCCCCAGGGACCGCCAAUGUGCCAGGUCAGGACUCUAACCUGACUCCUCAAACUUAUGCCAUUGACUCCCCGCACAUACUUACUACCAACCGGGGUGCGCACUCAUACAGAACGGGGUAUCCGGCCAGCUAAGUGUUAGGCAUGCGUUCAACAUGACACGAGGACGCACAACGAAUCAGUCCUUAACCGACACGGACGGGGAUAGAUUCAUACCCAAGACCUCCAUGCCUUGCUGCUGCACUAUCAUCAUCCCACCCGGACUCAAGUUCAUUAUUAGCACAUGGUUAUUUCCAUGAUAGCAGAUAUAGCCAACCGUGAGGAAGUAUCCACCUAUCUCUCGCAGGUGACAGAAAAUCACCCGGCUUCUACCGAGCUAAGCAUGGCUAAGCAUCAUUCGAUCCUGGACCUACUUAGGUAAGGUAUGAGGUGGACAAGGUAAUCGUUAUGCAGCAAGGGUGUCAUAUCAAUGCCUAACACUUAAUGCAACAAAACAUAACCAUAGUCAAUUGAUAGCUGGACAUGGUAACAAAAUAGUAGGUGGCUUAUAAUGCUCCGGGGCUUGCCUUCGACGUAGGUGGACGGGCGGUGGUCGGGACACUCCAGUAGGUCCUCCUCAGCUCCUUGAGAUGGCUCCUCUUGCGGUUCCUCCGGCCCGGGUAGCUCGUACUCCAAUACCAUCACUACCUUGGGUACACCUAUGUAUGCAUGAUAAGGUGAUAAACAUAGGGAAUGCACAUAAAAUGCAAUAUGUCAUGAUGCUGAGCCAAGGAACACAUAACAAGGUAUAACAUGGUUAUAAACUCCAAAAUUAAGUGAAUCAUAGAAUAACAAGUAAGUGCAAACUUCUUCUCUGGUAGAGAGGCUAACUAGACAAGUUAAUCAACCUUAGCUACUCCAACUUAGUAACUGGUUCCAUAGACAGACCAACUAGUCACAAGUUUCAGCUAUAACUUAAGCAUCAGUUGGCCAAACUAAGCAAGUAGAUACUUUCUGGAAAGAUUAUCAAAUUGUCUACAAAACAGCUUUAGACACUUCAGAAAGAUUCCCAAAGAAACAGGGUGAAACAGACAAAGUGUGCUGGCUGUUCUGGAAAUUCCAGAGAGCAAGCACUUCGCAGCAACUACUUGCAACCUUCAUAACUUUCAAACUACUCAACCAAAUGUCAUGAAAUUUGAACACGAAGUAGAUAAGUAAGUUAGCUACAAGUUUGUUAUAGACAAGUUUUCCAGAAAACAUCAUCUUCAAGUAUUUCUUAAAUAAUUUCUAUCAACUACACAGAAAUGCUCUAGGAAAGGCAUAAAUAGCAAAAAUAAUAUUUUACACAUAUUAAGAAUGUAGCAUUGGUUUAAACCAAAUAUACCAGUGGAUAGAACAUGUCUAAGAUACACCAGAAAACAUCAUGGCAAGGUCUAAAUCCAUUUCUAUUAUCACCUUUCCUAUUUAUUUAAUUAUUAGGGUGAUUUAAUGAACAUAUACCACAAGUGCUCCAAAAAUCCUAAGAAAAUUAGAGCAAGCAAUUUAUACUCUCAUAAGUUUACUGUAAAAUUGUCAGGGCAUUUGCACAUGCAGAUUGUGAGCUACAAAACUAACAAGCUAGCAAGGGCAUGCAAGGCAUAAAUGUGAAACCCUAUCAAAUAGUGUCAAACAACAGAUUUCAGAUUUUUCCUAGCUUUGUUUACACAUGAGUACAACACUCAGCAAGUUUCACCAUAAAAGGAGUUAUAAUCUAUUUACUAAAAAUACCACAAGAAACUCCUAUUUACACAAGAAAUAUUUAUAACUUCACAAUCAGUCCUCCAAAAAUCAUGAUAAAUUUAUCAGAGCCUAUUCAUGACAUAAGUGACAACACCCUAAAUUUGCAUGGCCACCAGAGCAACAGAUCUCAAGUUAUAAUUACCUCCUAUUUAAUCAAGAUUAAAUCAUAUCUAUUUAUUCCUGCAAAAACAUGGCAUGUUCCAUAUUUUUAAUAAAAACUAGAUUAAUAUAAGAACCUAGCCAAAUUGGAACCACACCAUUUGGAUCUGUAAAACUCAAGAUAUGAAUUUUUCAAAAACAGCAAAGGAUCUGCUACACAGUGACCAGAGAUGUGAGAGAGAGACUGACAGGUGGGAUCCGCUGACACACGGGACCCACUCGACAGAGAGACAGAGACAGGGAGACGCUCGUCGCCGGUGAAACUCGACGAUGGCGAGAUCUCGGUUGGAUCCAAGGGCAUCUACGUGUUCCUCUCCUCAAGGCAAACUUGUUGACCUACAUUACCCAUGCUCUACUAGACUGUGGGGUGCUCGCCGUCGCGAAUGGCGGAGCGGCGGCGCUGCGCGGCGUUACGCCGGCGAACCUAGGCAACGGCGACGCGGUAGAGGUUGCGGACGAGCAAGAGCGACUCAAGGCGAAGCUAUAGGAAGAAGAAUCAUGGCCAGAGGUGAACCAGAGAGGUCUGGCCACGUUGCCGGUGAUCUGUGUGAACUCCGGCGAGGUGGAGCUCGCGACGGAGUUGGCAAUGCGGCCUCACCGGUGCUCGGCUAAGGGAAAGAAGUGGACGCCGAGGUAGAGGACGUCGAGGCGGAGCUCUGGGCGGACUAGCUUGGCCGAAGACGCGGUGGAGUGGCCCGGAGAGCUCGUCGAAGCGCGGUGGAGCAUGCCGAGGCGAUGGCGGAGCGAAAUAGAGCGCUCUGAGCGAGUGGAGGUCGCGUCUGAGGCGUCCCCACUCGGUGUGUGGCGACUUGAGGACGCCGUGGGAGCUGACAGGAGGGACCGUCGAUGGUGUACGGCCGACAGGUGGCCGAACACGCGGCGGCGGGUGAACUCUGCCCAAACUGAAACGUUCACUGAAUCGCUCGAUCACAGUGAUGAAACCCGAUCUUCAACAACGUUUUACUCUCAGCUCACUCGAUGGUUUUGGCUUGGAUUUCAUCCUUUGGAUAGAGCUACACGAGUUCUACAAGUUUGCUUAAAGGAUCGAAGACUUGUUCGGCUUGGAUUUCAAACUACAACGCUCCCAAAUACCCUACCUCGAAACUGUGUCGACUCUGACUUAGGCAAAUUUGGCUAAGUGUAAAAUCAGCCCUGAUUUUUGCUUUGUGAGCAAAUUUUGAAUGUGUUCCAAGCUUUUUCAUAAAAAGUCGUCAACAUAACUUUUGUAGCUUAUGAAAUUUACUACAACUUUGCUUUAGAUGUCAUUUACAUGCAAGGUUUCUAACACCAGUUUCAUAAAAUAUCUUUAAAAAAGAGGUCUAGGGGGUCAACUAGGUCAAUCUAGGGUUAACCAUGGCUUAGGGGCAUUUUUGGCCAAAACAUCCAACAUGAACUUUGUUCAAAUAGUUAUUCUAAACAUGACUAAAGUAUUUUGGGAGACAAUGUACACUUGCAUGCAUUUGUCACCCAUUACAAUCAACCAUAGCAAGUCAUAUAGCAAUUCAAUCACAUAGUAUAUGUAACAAAUGGCAUGUGAUCAUGGUAUGAUGCUCAUGAGUGAUUAUGAUGAUGCUUAUGUUGAUGCAAUGCUCAUGGUUAACAUGCAAGCUAACACUAGGAGUGUUACAAUAAGUACAUAUUUUCUGGAGUUCAUGAGAAAAAGCAUACCAAUUUAGUAAGGCUUAGACAACGUAACGAUGAAUCGGUAGAGAGCUUUGUGCAGAGACUGCGGGAUGUAAAGAACAAAUGCUAGAACUUGGUUCUGGAUGAUCGGCAACUAGCUGAUUUGGCUUCUCAAGAGUUUGAAUGUUUGAGUCAUUUGGUGCAGAGAAUUUCUGAUUAGGGCGUUAGGACUUUCGAACCUAGGAAGAAUUGGAAUAAAAAGGUAUCAUUUGUCGAUGAGGCUGAAAUUUCUGAUUCUGGUGAAGAACCAGUCAUCGGCUUGGUAGAGUGGGUAAAAAAUAAGAAGCCGAUGUCUUGUCCUUUUGGCUAGAAAGAACCAAAUAAGUUUGCUUUUCAUAUUACCAAAGCCGAUAGGAUAUUUGAUUUCUUGCUUCAAGAGGGGCAGACUAAAUUGUCGCCUAAUCAUGUAAUUCCAUCGGCGGAGGAGCUGGAAAAGAUUAAGUACUGCAAAUGGCAUAAUGCAACCCCGCAUAGGACAAAUGAAUGUAAUGUGUUUAGGUAGCAGUUGCAAUCAGCUAUAGAAUGUGGUAGAAUCAAGUUUAAUAAUUCCAAAACUCAGAAUCCGAUGAAGAUUGAUUAACACCCUUUCCCCACAAAUAUGUUAGACGCCAAUGGUAAGACUAAGGUCUUGACGUCAGAAACGGCUGAGAAGAACACAUCUACAGAUCGCCAGCAUCACAUAACUACCGAUGAUGCCAAAGGAAACGGUUUACUAAGGGAAGGCUAUAGACGGCCUCCCCGAUCUGGCAUAGUAAUCAUUCAUAUAUGGUAGUAGGAGAAUUGGCAGCAGCGUGAGGAUCGGUAUCGGCAUCAACAAGAAGAUAGACAUCGGGAGGAGUGAAAUCAACAUAAAGAUCAUUGGGAUUGCCCAUUCUUUAUUCAUUAUUGGGAACGAGAUAUCAAAUUGCCGACUGUUGAAGAUUAUCCCGAGUGCAAUGGUUACCGUCGACAUAAUCGGCCAAAUCAGAGAUUCCAAACCAAUAAUCGACGUUUUAAUGAGCCGAUCAGGGGGAGAAUGUCAGUACAUGAUCGGCUGCGGGGCAGGCUUAAUGUGCAUGAAAGGCUUGGUGGACGUGUCAGUUAUUUCCCAAGAAAUCAAGAAGAACUUCAAGAGAUGGCAAAUGGGUGGGUUCGCGAUGAAUUCUUAUUUUACAGAGAUUCUAACAUUCAUCGUAUAGAGCCAAAGCAAGUGCGCUAUCAGUCCGUUUGGAAGACAAAGCUUCCCGAUGGCAUCCAGAGUGUUUGACAAGAACAUAAUGGAGGAUGAUGCAACGGGAACGUCGGGAAGAUUUGUAUAGGGAAGAAAAUUCUUUUAAGUCUGAAGAUCGGCAGCAGUUGGACCGCAAGGGGAAAGGACCAUCGGCAGACAUCAAUAUUUCUUGCACCUUCUCAUGAUGAUGAGGAAAUUAGUCUCUCUAAUCAAACAGCUCAGUUGGCACUUGAUCCAAUGAUGGCUAUUUUUGAAAAACCUUCUGAUGAUGAGAGGCAGCAUCUUCAAGCAUUGUUCGUUAAAGGCAGGGUUGAUGUGCACCCAGUCUCUAAAAUACUUAAUGAUGGAGGGGCUGCAAUUAAUAUUAUGUCGUAUAUGAUGUAUCAGAAACUUGGUAAAGGAGAUCAGAAUUUAACCAAGACCGAUAUGAUGCUGAAAGAUUUUGAAGGUAAUGUGUCUCCAGCCAAAGGAGAUGUAUACGUUGAAUUGACUAUCGGCAGCAGGACCUUGCGGACAACUUUCUUUGUCAUCAAUGGAAAGAAAAAUUUGAUGCAAUCUACUAUUGGGGCCAGAUUGGAUUCAUGCCAAUUGUUGUGUCCCUUCUAUGAUGCAUUAGUGCCUUGUUCAAUGGGUACGCGAUAAAAUUGAAGCUGUUCCUAUUGAUUCUUCCUCCAUCAUUGCAUCGGCAGAAUCAGAUACUUAUGAGCGAACCAGGUGCAUAUCGGGAGAGGAUUAGGAGAAUGAUUUCCUCAAAGUUGUUGAUUAUGAGAUUCCACCGAUCCAAGCAGUCGGUUCCGAUGAGGAGUUUUAAUAGACAGGUUCCCCAAUGAUGGAAAGUUAGGACAGGGGUUUACAUCGGCUAAUGAUUUAGUAGAGGUAGACAUAAGUAGUGGUGACAGGCCGAGGCCUACUUUCAUUAGUGUUAAGUUAGAUUCUGAAUGUAAGCAACAAUUAAACGAUUUGUUAAAAGAGUAUAAAGAUUGCUUUGCUUGGGAUUAUACUGAGAUGCCUACAUUAGACCGAUCAUUUGUUGAACAUCGGUUGCCUAAUAUUCUUCCUAACAUUAAGACCGACUAGCAACCAGCACGCCGAUGUAACCCUAAUAUUCUUCCUAACAUUAAGGCCAAAAUAACAAAGUUAUUGAAGUUAAGUUCAUUCGAUAGUGUCGGUAUGCUAAGUGGAUUUCCAAUGUUAUUCCUGUCUACAAGAAAAUUGGAAAACUUCAUGUAUGCAUUGAUUUUAGGAAUCUCAACAAAGCUACACUGAUGGAUGGCUAUCCGAUGCCAGUUGCCGAUUUGUUGGUUGGUGCUACAACUGGGCAUCAGAUUAUUAGCUUCGUAGAUGGUAAUGCACGGUACAAUCAAAUAUUCAUGGCUGAAGAAUAUAUUCCUAAGACUGCGUUUAAGUGUCCUGGUCAUGUUGGGUUAUUUGAAUGGAUAGUCAUGACUUUUGUCUUGAAGAAUGCUGGUGCUACUUAUUAGAGGGCUAUGAAUUUUAUUUUUCAUGAGUUCAUCAGCAUGUUGGUGGAAAUUUAUAUUGAUGAUGUGGUGGUAAAGUCUAGGGAUUUCAUAAAGCAUCUAGCCGAUCUGCGAAAAAUACUUGAAUGUACAAGGAAACAUGGUCCAAAGAUGAAUCCUAAUAAAUGUGCAUUUGGUGUAUCGGUAGGCCAAUUUCUAGGUUUCAUGGUGCAUCAUAGAGGAAUUGAAAUUAGUAGGAGAUCUAUUGAUGCAAUCAGCAAGAUAGUUGCCCCUGUCGAUAAAACUGAACUUCAAUCCUUGAUCGGCAAGAUUAAUUUUAUCAGGCGGUUUAUAGCCAACCUAUCAGGUAAGAUUAAGGCAUUCAGUCGUUUUCUCAAAUUAAAAGCCGAUUAGGAGUUUGUGUGGGGAAACGAGCAACAGCUGGCCUUGGAUGAAAUUAAGAAUUAUUUGAUAAAUCCUUCUGUACUAGUUCCACCUCAAUAUGGGAAGCCCUUCCGAUUGUAGUUGUCAACCGAUGAUACGCUUAUCAGUUCAGCUCUCAUUCAUGAAUUUGAAGGGAAAGAAUGUGUGAUUUAUUAUUUAAGUAGGAGAUUGGUGGAUGCUGAGAUAAGAUAUUCGGCGAUUGAAAAAUUAUGCCUGUGCUUGUACUUUUCUUGUAUUAAAUUGAGGUAUUAUUUGCUAUCGGCUGAAUGUACUGUCAUAAGCAAGGAUGAUGUAGUCAAAUACAUGUUAUCCACGCCAAUUUUGAGUGGUAGAAUCGGUAAAUGGAUACUAGCAUUGUUAGAGUUUGUCUAACGUUAUGAAUCGGCUAAAGCAGUCAAGGGACAGAUUAUGGCCGAUUUUGUUACCGAACAUUGCAGUUCGGUAAAUUAUUUCGAGGUUGCUCCUUGGACACUUUUCUAUGAUAGAUCUACAUGUGUGCAAGGAGCAGGUAUCGGUGUGGUGUUAAUUUCUCCCCGGGGGAAGAAGUAUGAAUUGUCAUUGUCGAUUGUUGCUACAUCGACAAACCAUCAGGCUGAGUACCAAGCUCUGAUAAAAGGAUUGUCGAUUGUUGCUGUUGAAAUCUUCGGUAAUUUUAUGCUUACUAUAAAUCAGUUGGUUGGAGUUUAUGAAUGCCGAAGUGAAAUUUUAAUAUUAUAUUACGAGAGGUGUUUGCAGUUAUUAAAGGAAUUUAAGGAUUUUUGUUUAGAACAUAUUCCCCGAUUACAUAAUGAAGAAGUUAAUCGGUUGGCUCAACACGGUUCGGGAUAUCAACCUAUCCUAGAGGUAUUUUUGUCAGCAAUCGGUGCCAAUGAUUGGAGAAAGGAGAUUAUUGAUUACCUAAAAGAUGCAUCUAAGAAAGUUGAGAGACGUGUCAGAUUUCAAGCCACCAAGUAUGUACUCCUUGGCAAUGAGCUAUAUUAUCGUACCGUAGAUGGGAUUUUACUUAGAUGUCUUGGUGAUGAUGAAUCAAAAAGUUUGAUGGGUGAAAUUCAUGAGGGGGUAUGUGGAGCACACCAAUCGGCUUUUAAAAUGAAGUGGAUGAUUAGAAGAAAUGGAUAUCAUUGGCCGACUAUUCUUGAGGAUUGUUUCAAAUAUUUCAAAGGGUGUCAAGGGUGUCAGAAGUUUGGCAAUAUUCAGAGAGAGCCCGCAUCGGCAAUGAAUCCUAUUAUCAAGCCUUGGCUGUUCCGAGGAUGGGCUAUUGAUCUCAUCGGUCAGAUUUAUCUGCCAUCAAGCAAGGGACAUAAGUUUAUUCUUGUUGCUACUAAUUAUUUUACUAAAUGGGUUGAAGUCAUUCCUUUGAAAAAAGGGACAUCGGCUAACGUGAUUGAUUUUGUUAAGGAGCAUAUUGUUUACCGAUUUGGUAUUCCUCAGACAAUUACUACCAAUCAAGGUACUAUGUUUACAUCAGGGGAAUUUGAUGAAUUUGCAAUCGGUACGGGGAUUAAGGUGUCGAAUUCUUCCCUUUAUUAUGCUCAAGCUAAUUGGCAGGACGAAGCUUCUAACAAAGGGAUCACUAAGCUUAUCAAGCGAAAGAUUGAAGAAAACCCUAAAUGAUGGCAUAUGGUAUUAAAUGAAGCCCUAUGGUCGUAUCGGAUUGCGUGUCAUGGUGCAACUAAAGUGUCGCCAUAUCAGUUGGUAUAUGGGCACGAUGUUGUGUUACCAUCGGAGGUCAAAGCUGGCUCUAGGUAGAUAUUCUCUAAAGACCAAUUAGCUGCCGAUGAUUAUGUUACUCUAAUGAAAGAUGAGUUGGGGGAUUUGGUGGGGCAUCGGUUGAAGGCUUUAGAGAAUAUAGAAGAAAAUAAGAAGAGAGUAGCUAGAUGGUAUGACAAAAGGGUAAAUGCUAAGGAGUUUACUGAUGGAGAUUUAGUUUGGAUGUUAAUUCUACCGAUUGGGACUAAAAUUUCAAAAAUUUGAAAAUGGUAUCCUAAUUGGGAAGGUUCUUAUCUGAUAAGUCGAUCUGCUCCUAGCAAUGCAUACAUUCUAGAGACUCUUGAAGGAGUUGAAUUUCCCAGGGCAUUAAAUGGGAAGUAUUUAAAAAAGUACUACCCUAUUAGGAUACCAUUUAAGAACGCAGGCGAUAACAAUCAUAUCGGCUGGACAAAAUACUCGUGUUUUUAGAAGGACUAGUGAGACCUAUUGCCGAUGAAAAGGUUUACAAAUUCAGCAAAGCUUGGAUAGCCGAGAUCGCACGCGGGCGAAUCUAGUUGGCUUCCUCUAUUUCUCGGGUGUCUUCAUCGGCCGAGCCUUCUACUGGUUUUAGCUUCUUCUUAAUCUGCAGGGCCUUACGAGCUUGGGCGUCCCUUUCUUGCUGGAGAUCUUUUAGUGUAUCGGGCAGUCGACUUUCUUCAUGCUUGGCCUAGGUUAUUGCUUCUUCAACUUGCUUAAGUUUUGCGAGCAGGGCUUCUCUUUUAGCCGAUAGAUCAGAAAUCUUCUGCUUUAGUUUAGCACCUGAAGAUUGCAAAGUGCUGAUGCUCUUGUGCUUUUCAUGGGCAGCAUCUCCUCCUUGAGUUGGGCCUGGGCAGCUCUGUCAGCAACAUGUUGGACAGCCUUUUGAUACUAGAGUUGGCGGCUCUCCAGAUGGGCAGCUUGGAAUAGCAUCUCUUCGGCAUCGGCUGGGAUCUGACCACAAAGAGUCUUGAAGAUAGCCUUGGCUGGGUCGGAGUUAUCUACCAGUUGAGCUGUGUCUUGCUGCAGUAGGCCCAAUAGAUCCUCCAACUUAGAUUUGAUCUCUGCUCAUGCGAUUCCAAGCGCCAAGGAAGAACUUGCUUCUUCACCUUUGUCAUCGGAAUGUUGAUGGCAAAGGAGAACAAGCUGUCGAGUGAGUCUUGUUCCUAAAAAUAGUGGAAAAGAUGAGUUAGUCAGGAUUAGAUAUGGAUAGUACAAGAUCGAGAAGAUCAGGUGGCUUACUUGUUUUAGGGCGAUCUCUUGCCUUUGGCUUAGAGAUGUAACUUGUAUUAUGCCAUGGUCGGCUUGAUUUGCCGAUGGAAUAUCUUCAGCUGCAAAUACUAAGAAUGAUGAUGGUGUUUGUGUAAAAGUUCAUUGACAAUGACUUUAUGAUUGUUAUUUUACCUUGAGGGGAAGCGAUGGUUGCCUACUCAGGAACAACAGUCGAUGACGUGCCUUGAUCGAAUGGAUCAAUGGUCUGCAUAGUUGCGUCGGCCGAGUCUGCUUCAAUUUGGGGCACCGGAUGAGGUGGAGAGGAUGGUGCUACUUUCUGCCAUUUCGGCUGAGUCUUGGUGCUUGUAGGGGCUUUUCUCUUGGGUUGACCUUGGCUGGCUUUUGAAUAUGGGGCAUCAGUGUUGGGUAUUUUAAACGCAAACAGAAAAAUCCGCAAGCGCACGGAUACCGAUGUAGCUUUCACCCGGGAGUAUUCCAGAGUAUCGAUUUUCCACAGGGAACAUGAGUGUACUAAUUAAGAUUCAAGAUCGCCCAAGGAUAACUAUAUAAUUAUUUUUGGUGGGAAGAGAGGAAGUUUCCUGAGAGUUCUCUAGUUGAUCUAAGAAUCAAGAAUUACUUCAAAGAUUAUUUAUUUUGGGACAUCAGAACACUAACCACAUAAUGAGAUGAGAAGGGGGCUAGGAAGCUCUGACUACGGUCCUACAAACACCGAUCCGAACGAGGUGGAAUACGUCGACCGUUAGGGCUGUGACUACCCUACGGCUACCACAACAAUCCGCAGGAUUGGGUGCAAUUCCAGGUAAUUGCAAGACUAAACACCACGUCUAAUCUAUUAAUUACUACUCUAGCGUUAUAAAGAUUAGAGCACAUGAUGGAAGUGGGAAACCAAUAAAUAAGUUGAAUGUAAAUAAAAUGUGGCAGAACCCCCUAAGUGUUUGGGCCCACCGGCACCUGCCAUUGUCCUAAGGACCUCUGACGGUGAUGCCGGGAGUCCUCCCACUUUAGAAGUCCGAUGAGCAUUGCUGGGCGCUCAUUCCACUGCUACCUGUGGCGUACCAAGCUGGCUCGUCCUGACCACUGGUACUGGUCAAACAACGAGAACUGUUUCUUCUCGCCUUUACAGGUUAGCAAGUGGCCACCUUAACACCAGGAUCAUUCGUUGCGAAGAUAAAGCAGUGACUCAAUGACACAAGACCCAAUUAAUAUUUCAGAGUGAAACAGCGGAAGUAUUACAUAACUUAAUUUACAAAAGGAGUUCUUCCAAAUAGUAGAGUGUUAUUACAAGCCUGGUCCAGCGGAGCAACUGAAACUUUAGUAUAGACAGAACAAAUUUACAGACCCUGCCCAUGGGUCGCGCUCACUCUUCUUCGUCGUCAACCUCGACGACGGUCACACAACAGGGUCCGAAACAAGUCGGCUCCUGAGCUUCACCUGCAACAAGGGUAUUGAAACCCUGAGUACGGGAGCACUCAACAAGACUUACCCGAUGGGAAAAGAGGAGAACUUAGGGAUGCAGGCUUAGGGUAGACAAGGGGUGGCUGAGCAAGGAGCCAAAGUGUUUUGCGUAAAAAGCUUAUUAGUAGUGCAUCCUUAUUUUCAAGUUUUACCCACGAAUUCCUCCCUCACAGAGGCCGAGGAGUUCGAGGACAGUCUAACUGGUUGUUCCUCACAGACGAAUCCGUGAGUUCCUAGUCCUAUCAUAAAGUAUUAUUUAUCGAUGGCCAUAGCUUCAUGUCGCUAUGAGUCCGGGAAUUGGGAUCCGAACCUCAUGGGACAUUUUCCCCUUUCUCAUGUUAUCAUUCAGUUGCAUUUUUAACUACGAUGAGGGUCGAAGGAAUUGAGUCUCCCAAUCGGGGAGCAACGACGAUUCGAAUCGCUUAGCAAUCCAGCUGGAGUUCCUAACCACCCGACAUAUGUAGAACAAGAUCUUGCAUAUAUCAACCCAAAUCAAGCUCUCCCCAAAUUUGACCAGGUUCGCGGCACCCGAGAGCACAGUACUCCACCAUCCUACAGCCGAUCUAGAUGUUUUCCGGUCAUCUCAGAUCCGUAAGGUGGGUACACACUACUCUCGCCAUCUUUCCACUCCCAGUGCGCGAGUAGCUGUUCGCGUCGAGGGAUCACUAGACCGGGCUUACCGAAGGCAAGUGGCUAGUACUAUAAAUUCUCAACCCAGCAGGCCAUCAACGGAACGGUCCUUAAUCAACACAGUCGGAGACACUACUUUAAGACUCCAUUCUUAGAGCAAGUCCACCGACCGGUCUCAAAUUGAAACAUCAUUGAUCGUAAGUGUAUCCCACAACAACCCUUCAAACUUUCUUGUUUUAAAACCUAUCUAGUAGCAGGGCUAAGCAUCGCUACGCAGUUUUGAAAUAAAACAGGUGUCAAGGACAGGAUACAGAUAUCAAGGUAGUAAAUGCAGCAAGUAGGUUAACCCAAUUCUCAACUACCUAAUGCAGCAUUUUCAAUUCAUAAGUGACAAAAGAUUUAAAACAUCCAAGGAGGGGUUAAUGCAUCCGGGGCUUGCCUUGGUUGCAGGGCAGAGAGGGACCCUCGGAGACUUCCCAAGUCUCAGAUUCGACUUCCUCGAACGGAGCACCGACCUCGGGGUUCGGUUCAACGGGCGCUCCUUCGGUCACGGAUACUAUACGCAAAAUGAUGAAUGCUCAUGAUAUGCGUAUGAUCAUUAUGCAAGAAGGGUCAAGUCGAGUACAACUUGCCUUCUUGGUGCAACACAGAAUAAACCAUAAAUAAACUUGUUUUUACCCAAGAAGUUGCAUCUAUAAAUUAAGACUUCUCUUAAUUCAUAAUGAUCUUAAAUCGAUUAAUUACUAUCCCUAUUUACCUAAAUUAAUUCUUAAUUAAGUACUAAUGACAGUAAUUAAGCAUUAAGGCCAACCAAUAAUUAAGUGCCAAAGGUCAUUAGGGUUAAUGACCUCAGGUCUUCACAUAAUCCUAAAGUCACUCAAACCCUAAUUAUGAGGAUUUAACUAAUCAUUGUUUACUUACUUUGGAAUUAUUAUUUAAUCACUAAAUAAGGGUUUAAUAAUGUUUUAUUCAAACAUUAUCCAAAUGUCACCAAACUUUGUGUGGAGCCAGGAAAUAAUAUUCAGAGGCUUUCCACAAAAUUUGGUGAUUUUUGGACAUACCAAUAAAUUAUAAAAAAUCAUGCAAGUUUUAUUUGCUAAUUAAAGGAGCCAAUUGUUAUACCCUUGCAAACUAUCAGAAAACAGAAUCUAGUAUUUUUCAUGGAUCCUACAUAUUUCAGGGAGUCUAUACAAAAAUUUUUAUGAUUUUUGGAUCACCCCACAAUUUUCUACACAAAUUUCAAACAUUCAGCAAAAAUUGCAUAAAAAGAAAAAGAAAAAGUCACUGCAGCGCGGUUUGGAAUCGGCCCGCAGGCCGGCCCGCUUUGCUCGGCCCACGCGAGCCCGAGCGGGUGGCGCGUGCUGCCCCCUUCCCCUCACGCGGACACUGACGAGCGGGCCCCGCUUGUCAGUUCCGUCUCCCUCGCAGCCGGCGGCCUUGCCGCGCUCCCGGUUGCCACUGGCGAGGCCCCAGCCCCACACCAGGGUGCGCAUCGGCUGCGCCUUGAGCUUGCGACUCCAGAGGUAUGGCUUGAGGACGCUCUACCGCCCUCCUCCUAUCUCGGCCACGCGAAAGGCGGCGGCCGCCCUGGCCGACCGUCGGCCGGCCACUAGGGCCCGGUAGAGUGUAAACGGAUGGCCUAGCGAGCUUCCACGGGGAUUAGGAAGAGUGGUGCUCACGCUGCAAGGCGCGGGAAAGCAGCUGAAGCCGCUGGCGACGGGGGCAGUGUCGUCGGGCGGGAGCUCUUGCUCCGGCAAGCUUGUUCCGGCAAUCCUGCUCACAAUCAAAGAGAGGGAGCGAGCGCAUGAGCGACCGGGGCACGGGAGGAACGUGAAACAGUCGCCAGUGGGGUGUGAUACUCACUGGAACACCGUGGCCACGGGAAGAGUUCCGCGGCGGCGGUCUCGGCCGGAGUUGGAGAAGAGGGAAAAGCUCUGGCGCUUGAGGGGGUUAGGGCGUGAGCUUGGGGGUGCUCUGGGUCCGCAAGGAGAUGGCGAAUACGGCAGCGUGCUCAAUUUGGCGCGAGGGGAACUGGGUACGGUGGAUUUCAGAGAGAGGGAUGUCGAGUUUCUCCGGCCGUGGACAGCGAACACGGACGGCGUCGUCCACGUCGGUGCUCAAGUGGAGGGGAAGGCAAGCCCGAGGCAUCCACGUCGCCUAGCGACCCUGGCAGCAAGCAGCUGCGUGCACUCACGCAUGCGCGCGGCGCUGCUCGCGUGGCAGCUGCGCUGGACAGGGAGCCGGUGAUCCCUAUCGGAUCACUGUAGCAACCCCUAUCUUCCCCUUUUUGUCCCCUUGCGAAUUUCAGCCAAAAUUUGAACUAAAGUCCAAUUACCACCAAAACAAGAGUUGUACAAAAUUUUGUAAACUACAAAUCAUCUUUUGGUGCCCAGAGCUGAUUCCGAGUGGAAGGUAGCCAAUUUGGCCAAACAGUUUGGAAUUUCAACUCAAAUCGAUGAAAUUCAAAUUUUUGAAUUGGGGGCAAAACAGGAUUUCCAAAAUUACUUUUGUUUUUCCUAAACAGCUUGAAAAACUCCCAACAUGAAAGUUGCUCAAAUUUUUGUGCUCUACAACUUUCAUGUUGACCACUUUUCAAAAUUCCAAAUGGAUUUUGAAUUGAGGGUUUAAGUUGGAAAAGGGGACACUUUCUGGAAAUCUGUAUUUUCAAAAUUACUUUGAAUUUUGUAUUGAAACUUCAAAAACUCAAAACACCAAAGUUGUACAUCUUGCCAAGAGCUACAACUUUGCUUUUGAACUCAACCUCAAAUUUUGCUUAGUUUUUGACUUAUGCAAAAGGGGACAAAUCUAGGAACCAGAAAUCAGGGUUUCCCCCCUUAGCUUUUCGGAAAAUUUCCACCCUAGGGUUUUUAGCAACCACACAAGCAUCAACAUCCCACAUAAACACACUCUACCUCCCUAAGCUCAAGCAAUAAAAAUAAACUUGUUUUAAGUUGAUGCAUACUAAGGUGCUUUAACAAAUAUGAUUUGCAAUGCUCAUGAUGACAUGAUCCAUUUUUAGUAACCAUAACAUCAGGGAUGUUACAGCCCUUCCCCCUUAAAGAAAUCUCGUCCCCGAGAUUUAAAACCUUAGGGUAAGUAAUGGAAAAGGAAAUUUGUCAAAACUCUUUCAUCUUCAACUUUUCCAUAAGGCAAGGAGUUGGGGAAAAUACUUCAUUGUAAGCAUAUAUGUACAUUAAGUACAUGGCUUUGGCGACUCUUUUCCUUCACUAGAGUACACUCUCCGGUUAUCAUAUAUUGUCCUGAAGAGAAGCAUGGAAUUCAGGAAAAUUCUCUAGCAAGUAAUCUUCAGAUUCCCAGGUGGCUUCUUCUUCAGAGUGCUGGCUCCAUUGUACCUUAUACCAUUUGGUGGUUGUCCUUUGAGUAACUCUAUCUUUUUGAUCCAGUACUCAGAUAGGGUAUUCCGAAUAAGUUAGAUCUGGUUCAAGCUUUACAUCUUCAAUAUCUUGAACUCGGUCUGGUACCCGAAGACACUUUUUCAGUUGAGACACAUGGAACACAUUAUGCACCCCGGAUAAUCGUUCGGGCAGUUUAAGGCGGUAAGCGACCUGUCCACAUCGGUCAAUAAUUGGAAAUGGACCAAUGUAACGAGGCGCUAACUUGCCUUUAACACCAAAACGAUUUACUCCUUUCAUUGGGGAUACUUUCAAAUACACAUGAUCACCUUUGGCGAACUUUAAUGGUCGACGUCUUUUAUCAGCGUAACUUUUCUGUCGGGACUGAGCAACUUUCAAGUUAUUUUGGAUUUGUUUCACUUUGUUCUCAGUCUCUUUCACUAAGUCAACUCCGAAGAACCAUCUUUCUCCAGGUCCCGACCAGUGUAACGGAGUUCGACAUCGGCGACCAUACAGUGCCUCAAAGGGAGCCAUUUUGAUACUCUCUUGAUAGCUAUUAUUGUAGGAAAAUUCUGCUAGAGGCAAGCAGUCAUCCCACUUAUCUGGAAAAUUCAGGGCACAAGAUCUUAAUAGAUCUUCUAGGGUUUGAUUCACCCUUUCAGUUUGCCCACCAGUUUGAGGGUGGUAGGCUGUGCUGUAUAAAAGCUUAGUGCCCAGGGACUCAUGUAAACAUUUCCAGAACUGGGAGACAAAUUGUGUGCCCCUAUCUGACACUAUUGUCUUUGGCACCCCAUGCAGACUUAGGAUACGGUCGAAAUAAAUCUUAGCAUAGGUGGAGGCAGGAUACAAUAGCUUUACCGGCAGAAAAUGUGCUGUUUUGGUGAGACGAUCUACUAUGACCCAAAUGGAAUCAAAGCCCUUGGCCGUCUUGGGCAAUCCUACUAUGAAAUCCAUACUGAUGUCAUCCCAUUUCCAUGUGGGGAUAGGCAAAGGUUGCAACUCCCCAGCGGAUUUGAGAUGAAUGGCUUUGACCUUUCGACAGGUGUCACAUUGGGCCACAUAGCGAGCUAUUUCUAUCUUCAUUUUUGUCCACCAAAAUCUUUGCUUCAGGUCCUGAUACAUCUUAUUGCUUCCCGGAUGAAUGGAAUACCUCGUGGUAUGAGCUUCAUCCAGGAUUUGCUAACGUAGCUCAGGUACCUUUGGAACCACUAACCGGUUCUUGAACCAGAUUACUCCCGCAUCAUCCACCUUAAAGUCUGUGGGUGCUCUAUUAGAAAUCUUCUCUUUAAGAUGUCUCAUGUCUUUGUUUUCUUUUUGUGCCUUUAUGAUUUGAGCUUCGAGAUUGAAAUCGAUCUUUAGAUUGGAAAGGCUUCCUUGGGAAAUCAUUUCUAUUCCCAAGUUCUCUAGCUCUUGGCACAAAGUUAUAUCCCUAGGCGUCACUGUUAAGCAAUUAUAGUGAGCCUUACGACUGAGGGCAUCCGCUACUACAUUUGCCUUGCCAGGGUGAUAAUGCACCUCAAGGUCGUAAUCUUUAAUUAGUUCUAGCCACCUUCGCUGGCGCAUAUUGAGCUCAGCUUGAGUAAAGAUAUACUUCAAGCUUUUGUGAUCUGUAUAUAAAUGACAUGUGUUCCCCAACAAAUAAUGACGCCAGAUCUUUAAUGCAUGUACCACGGCGGCUAGUUCAAGAUCAUGGGUCGGGUAAUUCUCUUCAUGGGGUUUGAGUUGUCUGGAAGCAUAUGCAAUUACGCGACCCUCCUGCAUCAGCACACAGCCUAACCCGAUCCCUGAUGCGUCACAAUAUACAUCAAAGGGUUUUUCAAUAUCUGGCUGGGCUAAGACAGGUGCAGUGGUCAACAACCUUUUCAGAGUCUGAAAGGCUUGCUCACAUUGGGGUGACCAAACAAAUUUUGUUUGACUUUUGAGCAAGGUUGUGAUUGGUUUGGCGACUCUGGAAAAGUCCGGGAUAAAACGACGGUAAUAUCCCGCCAUGCCCAGAAAACUACGGACCUCAUGUACCGUAGUCGGGGGUUUCCAAUUCAACACAUCUUCUACCUUGCCUGGGUCUACAGCGACUCCUUCCGCUGAUAAUACAUGACCCAGGAAAUGAACUUUGUCCAGCCAGAACUCACAUUUGCUGAACUUGGCAUAUAGCUGAUGCUCCCUGAGACGGGUCAGCACGAUUCUCAAGUGUUCAGCAUGUUCUUUCUUAGUCUUGGAGUAAAUCAAAAUGUCGUCAAUAAAGACAACAACAAAUUUAUCUAGUUCUGGCAUGAAGACAGAGUUCAUCUGGUACAUGAAAUGGGCCGGUGCGUUAGUCAACCCAAAAGACAUCACCAAGUAUUCAUACAGCCCGUAACGGGUUGUGAAAGCGGUCUUGGGCACAUCUUCCGGCCUAAUUUUAAUUUGGUGGUACCCUGAUCUCAAAUCAAUUUUUGAGAACACUUUGGCCCCAGCUAGCUGGUCAAACAAUAAGUCAAUGCGGGGCAAUGGGUACUUGUUCUUAAUCAUUACCUCAUUUAGAGGACGAUAGUCGACACACAGCCUUAAUGUCUGAUCUUUCUUUUUCACAAACAAGGCUGGGCAACCCCAUGGAGAAGAACUGGGCUGAAUAAAACCCUUCUGCAACAACUCUUGUAAUUGGGUUUUUAAUUCGGCCAGCUCUUUCGGUGCCAUUCUGUAGGCCCUUUGAGAUAUUGGGGCCGUUCCUGGUUUCAAUUCUAUACUGAAUUGUACAUCCUGGUCCGGAGGCAGACCUGGUAAGUCUUCAGGAAAUACAUCCGGAAAAUCUCGAACUACCGGAAUAUCUUUGACUUCAGACACAUUUGCGGCAUGAACUUGCCCAAUUGUCCGUUUGGGAGUAACUAAUUGGAUUAGCAAAUAAGAAUUCUCAUUGGGCAAUGGGAUUUUAAUGGUUCGAUGCAAAGUGUCUAGCACAACCCCUCGUUGCGCCAUCCAGUUCAUGCCUAAGAUGACAUCAAUUUCUUGGUCCUUAAGAACAAUCAUGCUAGUAGGAAAAUUGUGCCCACCAAAUUCGAUGGGUACUUGGUGAACCAUUUCUUUAGACAUCAGCCGUCCUCCUGGCGACUGUAUAUAAAAAUGAUCUUGUGUUUCCCCAAUGGGUAUGCCAUGCUUUAACACAAAGGUGCGAUUGAUGAAUGUAUGGGAUGCACCAGAAUCAAAGAGCAUUAAAGCAGGAUGCUUCGCAACAGGAAACGUACCCAUCAUCACUGGUUCACCCUCUGGAAUUGUCUCCACUUCAGUAUGGAAGACUUGCCCUGUCUUCUUUACCGGUCUACCUUUCUGUACCUGUUGCCCCUUUUGAACCCCAGUUCUGAACUGACUCGGCUGGGGUUGGCCCAUAGGUGGCCUUGGAAAGGUAGGGUUGGUUUGGCGGGGAAAAGGGCACUCUUUAGAGAAAUGCCCAGGUUUACCACAAUUGAAGCAAGGGUAAUUGUGGCUGGGCGGAGCAGUAGGGCGAACACCCGGGGCGUUCGGCUGGCGUGGUGCAAAAGCGAUGGCAGUAGGUCGAGAAUAUACCUGCUGCCCGGGUCUGUACUGUGGAGGGGAGAAAGGACCACGAUAAGGUGACGGCGCUUGGAAACGUCCGUGGCCCUGUGGAUGAUAAAUGAUCCUCUGGCGCUUUUGACCGCGACCAGAGAAAGAAGAGGAAGCAGCCUUCUUCUUGGCUUCCUUAUGUUUCCUAUUCUUUUCCUCUGAGGCGAUAGCAAUAUUUACCGCCUCAUAGAAAGUAGCAUUUUGGCAAGUGGUCAUCAUGGUCUGAAGUUUAGUAUUUAGACCACGCAUGAAACAGGCUUUCUUCUUUCUGUCAGUGUUCACAUGAUCCGUGGCAUAUUGAGAGAGAUGAUUAAACCUUGCCACGUACUCCAUAACACUUUUAUCGCCUUGCUGCAAGGCGAGAAACUCUUCGGCCUUCAUGGCCAUGAGCCCUUCGGGAAUAUAGUGGGCGCGGAACGCGUCCUUAAAUUCGGUCCAAGUGACUUGGUGUCCGGGAGCUUGAAUAGCUAAGAAGUUCUCCCACCAGGCACCUGCAGCUCCCCGAAGCUGCUGAGCUGCAAAUAGGGGUUUCUGAGUUUCUGAACACUGAAUCAAACUGAACUUAUGCUCCAUGGUUCGGAGCCAGUCAUCCGCUUCUAAAGGCUCAUCGGCCUUAGUGAACACCGGGGGCCUGGUCUCGGUAAAGUCCACAUACCGAGUCUCUCCGUCCCCGUUGCGCGGUGCCCUGAAGUUUGGAGCAGGGUGUGGUUGACGCUGUGCUAGCUCGCGCAGCAAGCGAGCAUUGUCAAUAGUGGCACUUAACAAAACAGCAAUGGCGUCAGCCAAAGAAGGCGGAGCAGGUGGAGGGUUGGGGAUAUCAUCCCCUCCCUGGGAUGUCCCAGCUCCAUCAGAUCCGCGAGUACGCAUCGGCAUCUGUUACAAGAAUCGUAGAUACCUGUUACCACGUAAAAUUCAUAACACAGAACAUAUCUUACAUUCUUUCAUUCACUUAUUAAACAUUAGUUCGACACACCAAGAGUAAACAAGUACAACUUUUCAAACCAAAAGAGAACUUAUAUUACAAACCCGAACCCCUCUACGGCAAGCUAAGACCCCUACAACGACGUUGCCCUCGGUUUCACCGAACUAAUCGGUGUGGCCAGAGCUGUAGCCCGGGUCGUCAUUGCCAUCAUCUUGAUUACCCCCUGGGUUGUGGUCAUCGGGGUCGGACUCCUCUUCAUCACUGAGGCCUGGAUCGGGUUCUCCAUCGUCUGCCAACUCGCCAUCCGUAUCCAUUUCUCCUUCGCCGGGAGGUGGGUGGAGUUGAUGAUACAGAUCAAAUGCAAUAUCACGAUAUUGCAUAGCCAGGUCAUUGACUGUAUCUAAGUGAUGUGCCAGCUCCAGUUUCUCCAGCUGGAGCUGGUCCUCUCGUUGCCACGCGACAUCCCGUUGUGCGGUGACCGUGGCCGCCAUCUUCACAUACAAAUCCUUAAGAUACCUUGCCUUGCCCAACUUUGCGUUCAUCCUAGUUAGCUCAUGCCUAUGGGUGCUCCUAGCUUCUUCCUCUCGGGCAAUGGCUGCAUUCCGCUCCUCCACCAUCCGGGACAACAUAGCUUCACAGUUUUCUGUAGCUUGUUUUUCUUUGGCCAGUUGAGCUUUAAGUUUGCCAAUCUCCAUAACAUUGUACAUUCUUUCUCUCAUCACCUCAGUCAACUCGGCGGACAACCUGUCCACCUCCUGCUGAGGCGGUGAACGGCUACUACUGGCUUGAUCACUGCGUGGAGCUAGCUGAUGUCGGGGAACUCCUUUUGGACCGGUCCGCUUACGCGGGGUCUGCUUCUGACGAGCCAUCCUGUAGAGAGUAAGUUUAGAUUAGUAAGAGAGACCUUAAAGGUUAGCAAGAAUAGGAUUGAUUCUAUUCACCCAACCCAACAAGGAGGAAGGAACUUAACCAGUUAAUACAUCAUGAUGCAUGCACGAACUUACGAUUCCUACUAACAAUUCGUAGCAAUAUUACCUUAAAUUUUUUUACAACAUAGGGCAAUACUUUAGGUUGCUCCUCCAUACCACUUCAAAAAUUCUAAGAAAGCCUAUAGACAGGGGUAGAUUAGGACUAAGCACUUGGACUCAAAAUAGGCAGGUUCAUAGUAGUAGAUCCAAACAAAUUUUUUUGAAAUUUUUCAAUAGGUACAGCAGUCAUCUUAGCAACGAAUGCUCUGAUACCAGCUGUGGCAGAACCCCCUAAGUGUUUGGGCCCACCGGCACCUGCCAUUGUCCUAAGGACCUCUGACGGUGAUGCCGGGAGUCCUCCCACUUUAGAAGUCCGAUGAGCAUUGCUGGGCGCUCAUUCCACUGCUACCUGUGGCGUACCAAGCUGGCUCGUCCUGACCACUGGUACUGGUCAAACAACGAGAACUGUUUCUUCUCGCCUUUACAGGUUAGCAAGUGGCCACCUUAACACCAGGAUCAUUCGUUGCGAAGAUAAAGCAGUGACUCAAUGACACAAGACCCAAUUAAUAUUUCAGAGUGAAACAGCGGAAGUAUUACAUAACUUAAUUUACAAAAGGAGUUCUUCCAAAUAGUAGAGUGUUAUUACAAGCCUGGUCCAGCGGAGCAACUGAAACUUUAGUAUAGACAGAACAAAUUUACAGACCCUGCCCAUGGGUCGCGCUCACUCUUCUUCGUCGUCAACCUCGACGACGGUCACACAACAGGGUCCGAAACAAGUCGGCUCCUGAGCUUCACCUGCAACAGGGGUAUUGAAACCCUGAGUACGGGAGCACUCAACAAGACUUACCCGAUGGGAAAAGAGGAGAACUUAGGGAUGCAGGCUUAGGGUAGACAAGGGGUGGCUGAGCAAGGAGCCAAAGUGUUUUGCGUAAAAAGCUUAUUAGUAGUGCAUCCUUAUUUUCAAGUUUUACCCACGAAUUCCUCCCUCACAGAGGCCGAGGAGUUCGAGGACAGUCUAACUGGUUGUUCCUCACAGACGAAUCCGUGAGUUCCUAGUCCUAUCAUAAAGUAUUAUUUAUCGAUGGCCAUAUCUUCAUGUCGCUAUGAGUCCGGGAAUUGGGAUCCGAACCUCAUGGGACAUUUUCCCCUUUCUCAUGUUAUCAUUCAGUUGCAUUUUUAACUACGAUGAGGCUCGAAGGAAUUGAGUCUCCCAAUCGGGGAGCAACGACGAUUCGAAUCGCUUAGCAAUCCAGCUGGAGUUCCUAACCACCCGACAUAUGUAGAACCAGAUCUUGCAUAUAUCAACCCAAAUCAAGCUCUCCCCAAAUUUGACCAGGUUCGUGGCACCCGAGAGCACAGUACUCCACCAUCCUACAGCCGAUCUAGAUGUUUUCCGGUCAUCUCAGAUCCGUAAGGUGGGUACACACUACUCUCGCCAUCUUUCCACUCCCAGUGCGCGAGUAGCUGUUCGCGUCGAGGGAUCACAAGACCGGGCUUACCGAAGGCAAGUGGCUAGUACUAUAAAUUCUCAACCCAGCAGGCCAUCAACGGAACGGUCCUUAAUCAACACAGUCGGAGACACUACUUUAAGACUCCAUUCUUAGAGCAAGUCCACCGACCGGUCUCAAAUUGAAACAUCAUUGAUCGUAAGUGUAUCCCACAACAACCCUUCAAACUUUCUUGUUUUAAAACCUAUCUAGUAGCAGGGCUAAGCAUCGCUACGCAGUUUUAAAAUAAAACAGGUGUCAAGGACAGGAUACAGAUAUCAAGGUAGUAAAUGCAGCAAGUAGGUUAACCCAAUUCUCAACUACCUAAUGCAGCAUUUUCAAUUCAUAAGUGACAAAAGAUUUAAAACAUCCAAGGAGGGGUUAAUGCAUCCGGGGCUUGCCUUGGUUGCAGGGCAGAGAGGGACCCUCGGAGACUUCCCAAGUCUCAGAUUCGACUUCCUCGAACGGAGCACCGACCUCGGGGUUCGGUUCAAUGGGCGCUCCUUCGGUCACGGAUACUAUACGCAAAAUGAUGAAUGCUCAUGAUAUGCGUAUGAUCAUUAUGCAAGAAGGGUCAAGUCGAGUACAACUUGCCUUCUUGGUGCAACACAGAAUAAACCAUAAAUAAACUUGUUUUUACCCAAGAAGUUGCAUCUAUAAAUUAAGACUUCUCUUAAUUCAUAAUGAUCUUAAAUCGAUUAAUUACUAUCCCUAUUUACCUAAAUUAAUUCUUAAUUAAGUACUAAUGACAGUAAUUAAGCAUUAAGGCCAACCAAUAAUUAAGUGCCAAAGGUCAUUAGGGUUAAUGACCUCAGGUCUUCACAUAAUCCUAAAGUCACUCAAACCCUAAUUAUGAGGAUUUAACUAAUCAUUGUUUACUUACUUUGGAAUUAUUAUUUAAUCACUAAAUAAGGGUUUAAUAAUGUUUUAUUCAAACAUUAUCCAAAUGUCACCAAACUUUGUGUGGAGCCAGGAAAUAAUAUUCAGAGGCUUUCCACAAAAUUUGGUGAUUUUUGGACAUACCAAUAAAUUAUAAAAAAUCAUGCAAGUUUUAUUUGCUAAUUAAAGGAGCCAAUUGUUAUACCCUUGCAAACUAUCAGAAAACAGAAUCUAGUAUUUUUCUUGGAUCCUACAUAUUUCAGGGAGUCUAUACAAAAAUUUUUAUUAUUUUUGGAUCACCCCACAAUUUUCUACACAAAUUUCAAACAUUCAGCAAAAAUUGCAUAAAAAGAAAAAGAAAAAGUCACUGCAGCGCGGUUUGGAAUCGGCCCGCAGGCCGGCCCGCUUUGCUCGGCCCACGCGAGCCCGAGCGGGUGGCGCGUGCUGCCCCCCUCCCCUCACGCGGACACUGACGAGCGGGCCCCGCUCGUCAGUUCCGUCUCCCUCGCAGCCGGCGGCCUUGCCGCGCUCCCGGUUGCCGCUGGCGAGGCCCCAGCCCCACACCAGGGUGCGCAUCGGCUGCGCCUUGAGCUUGCGACUCCAGAGGUACGGCUUGAGGACGCUCUACCGCCCUCCUCCUAUCUCGGCCACGCGAAAGGCGGCGGCCGCCCUGGCCGACCGUCGGCCGGCCACUAGGGCCCGGUAGAGUGUAAACGGAUGGCCUAGCGAGCUUCCACGGGGAUUAGGAAGAGUGGUGCUCACGCUGCAAGGCGCGGGAAAGCAGCUGAAGCCGCUGGCGACGGGGGCAGUGUCGUCGGGCGGGAGCUCUGGCUCCGGCAAGCUUGUUCCGGCAAUCCUGCUCACAAUCAAAGAGAGGGAGCGAGCGCAUGAGCGACCGGGGCACGGGAGGAACGUGAAACAGUCGCCAGUGGGGUGUGAUACUCACUGGAACACCGUGGCCACGGGAAGAGUUCCGCGGCGGCGGUCUCGGCCGGAGUUGGAGAAGAGGGAAAAGCUCUGGCGCUUGAGGGGGUUAGGGCGUGAGCUUGGGGGUGCUCUGGGUCCGCAAGGAGAUGGCGAAUACGGCAGCGUGCUCAAUUUGGCGCGAGGGGAACUGGGUACGGUGGAUUUCAGAGAGAGGGAUGUCGAGUUUCUCCGGCCGUGGACAGCGAACACGGACGGCGUCGUCCACGUCGGUGCUCAAGUGGAGGGGAAGGCAAGCCCGAGGCAUCCACGUCGCCUGGCGACCCUGGCAGCAAGCAGCUGCGUGCACUCACGCAUGCGCGCGGCGCUGCUCGCGCGGCAGCUGCGCUGGACAGGGAGCCGGUGAUCCCUAUCGGAUCACUGUAGCAACCCCUAUCUUCCCCUUUUUGUCCCCUUGCGAAUUUCAGCCAAAAUUUGAACUAAAGUCCAAUUACCACCAAAACAAGAGUUGUACAAAAUUUUGUAAACUACAAAUCAUCUUUUGGUGCCCAGAGCUGAUUCCGAGUGGAAGGUAGCCAAUUUGGCCAAACAGUUUGGAAUUUCAACUCAAAUCGAUGAAAUUCAAAUUUUUGAAUUGGGGGCAAAACAGGAUUUCCAAAAUUACUUUUGUUUUUCCUAAACAGCUUGAAAAACUCCCAACAUGAAAGUUGCUCAAAUUUUUGUGCUCUACAACUUUCAUGUUGACCACUUUUCAAAAUUCCAAAUGGAUUUUGAAUUGAGGGUUUAAGUUGGAAAAGGGGACACUUUCUGGAAAUCUGUAUUUUCAAAAUUACUUUGAAUUUUGUAUUGAAACUUCAAAAACUCAAAACACCAAAGUUGUACAUCUUGCCAAGAGCUACAACUUUGCUUUUGAACUCAACCUCAAAUUUUGCUUAGUUUUUGACUUAUGCAAAAGGGGACAAAUCUAGGAUCCAGAAAUCAGGGUUUUCCCCCAUUAGCUUUUCGGAAAAUUUCCACCCUAGGGUUUUUAGCAACCACACAAGCAUCAACAUCCCACAUAAACACACUCUACCUCCCUAAGCUCAAGCACUAAAAAUAAACUUGUUUUAAGUUGAUGCAUACUAAGGUGCUUUAACAAAUAUGAUUUUCAUUGCUCAUGAUGACAUGAUCCAUUUUUAGUAACCGUAACAUCAGGGGAUGUUACAGCAGUAAUUAAAGAACUUAGGAAUUAUGAAUUGAAGAACCUUAAGAACGAUGAAGAACGAACUAGUUGCUGCAAAAGUACAAUGUUGAGAAAGAUCCGACAGAUCCGGCUCCUCCUCAUCCGCUCUCCUCUUCUCUCUCCCUUUUUUCUAGAUUACAACUAGAACUAACUAGAACUAGAACUAGAGGAACUAGAACUAGAUGAACUAGAACUAGAACUAGAUGAACUAGAGGGACCCCCUCUACUUGGAUGAAGAAUUGAAACCCUAACUUUGAUUUUGUAGAAGAGGUAUGAUCUCCAGGGGCCAGGGGGCCUUGUUUAUAUAGUCUUUUCAGAUGAAUCUGGGCCGUCGGAUCAAAACGACAUUAAUCGCAUGGUUUUCCUUGAUCCUUUAGGUCGGUGGAGCGUGAUCCGUGAAACGGGUCCGAAUUGGACACUGAUGGUGGGCGGGCACCCAAAGGAGUAGGGCGGGCGACCUGUCCCUGAGCCCUCUCGGCUUCCCGUUCGUUCCCGUGGCUUCUGGAGUCUUCUCGAUGAUAGAAAAUUGCGCGGCACGUUAAUAUCUGUAUGUAAACCCGACGUGUGGGCCUUUCUUCCGUAUUUCCUGAUAACCCCCUGCAGAAAUAGACAAACACCAAAACUCGUGGAAUUCUAUCAGAUAAAACCCUAAGUCUGGGCGUUGGUUGCAUAUAAGUCCUUUUCCAUGAUUAGUUGAGGGUUAAAUGUGAGCAUUAAGGACCAUCAACAAGCUCCCCCAAGCUUAACCUUUGCUCGUUGUUGGGUAUUUUAAACUCAAAGAGAAAAAUCCGCAAGCACACGGAUACCGAUGUAGCCUUCACCCGGGAGUAUUCCAGAGUAUCGAUUUUCCAUAGGGAACGUGAGUGUACUAAUUAAGAUUCAAGAUCACCUAGGGAUAACUAUAUAAGUAUUUUUGGUGGGAAGAGAGGAAGUUUCCUAAGAGUUCUAUAGUUGAUCUAAGAAUCAAGAAUUACUUCAAGAUUAUCUAUUUCGGGACAUCAGAACACUAACCACAGAAAGAGAUGAGAAGGGGGCUAGGAAGCUCUGACUACGGUUCUACAAACACCGAUCCGAACGAGGUGGAAUAUGUCGACCGUUAGGGCUGUCACUACCCAAGGGCUACCACAACAAUCCGCAGGAUUGGGUGCAAUUCCAGGUAAUUGCAAGACUAAACACCACGUCUAAUCUAUUAAUUACUACUCUAAUGUUUCAAAGAUUAGAGCACUUGAUGCAAGCGGAAAUCCAAUAAAUAACUUGAAUGUAAAUAAAAGUAAUUAAAGAACUUAGGAAUUGUGAAUUGAAGAACCUGGAGAACGAUGAAGAACGAACCAGAUGCUGCAAAAGUACAAUGUUGAGGAAGAUCCGAUAGAUCCGGCUCCUCCUCAUCCGCUCUCCUCUUCUCUCUCCCUAUUUUCUAGAUUACAACUAGAACUAACUAGAACUAGAACUAGAACUAGAACUAGAACUAGAUGAACUAGAGGUAGAACUAGAUGAACUAGAGGGAUCCUCUCUACUUUGAUGAAGAAUUGAAACCCUAACUUUGAUUCUGUAGAAGAGGUAUGCUCUCCAGGGGCCAGGGGGCCUUGCUUAUAUAGUCUUUUUAGGUGAAUUUGGGUCGUUGGAUCAAACCGACAUUGAUUGAACGGUUAUAAUUGAUCCUUUAGGUCGGUGGAGCAUGAUCCCUGAGUUGUACCCUGAUUGGGCAGAAUAGGAGGGCGGGCGCCCUAAGGACUAGGGCGGGCGCCCUGUCCGUAAGCCCUCUCGGUUUACGCUUUGUUCUCGUGGCUUCUAGAGUCUUCUAGAUGAUUGAAAAUUGCGCAGCACGUUAAUAUCUCUAUGUAAACCCGAUGUGUGGGCCUUUCUUUCGUAUUUCCUGAUAACCCCCUGCAGAAAUAGACAAACACCAAAACUCGUGGAAUUCUGUCACAUAAAACCCUAAGUCUAGGUGUUAGUUGCAUUUGGAUCCUUUUCCAUGAUUAGUUGAUGGUUAAAUGUGAGCAUUAAGGACCGUCAACAAGCUCCCCCAAGAUUAACCUUUGCUCGUCCCUGAGCAAAGAUGAACUGAAGAGUUUCUGCAGUGGUUUCAUGCCUUAAAGAUAUACUUGUGUUCAAUUAAGAUCUCAUCUCUGGGUUAGGGUAAACUGUUAAGAUUUAAACUUACUCAUUGUACCUUCCACCAUGGGGCUUGCAACCGUCACUUGUGUCUUGAGCAGUUAAAAGAUAUAACGGUCUAGUCAAGCGCCAUGUCUCUUGUUCUUCGAUUAACUACAGCUCUGGAGUUUUUGCAGAUUUUUAGAUAAAACUCAGUGAUUCCUUGUAUGACUCUCUCUAGUCACUCUUUAGUGGUAUAAGACAUAGUGACAUUGUCUUCUCUCUCAUCCAACUCUAAUAAGGCUUUAAUAUCUGGAGCUCAUAGGUGGGAGACAGCUAAUACAUACUUACAAGACAUUUAUUGCAUAGUCGAACCAUGGAUCCAGAGAAACAAGUCAAUAAGUCAAAUCAAGAUGUGCAUGUGUUGCAAAUGAAUGGUGUAUGGUAAUGAUGGUGAUAACAAUGGUGAAAGUCUAAUUCUACUUUUGCUCUUUUGAGGGGAUACAUACCUUCCUUGCUCUUUUGAAACUUUUGGGAAGAAUGAGAUGCUCUGUAUUUUCUUUUUCUUUCCUCUCAGGUGGGCAUCUUGUACCCCUAAUUCUACUGUCGUACACUUGUGCAUUUUUACCUUUCGUCUCACCUUUUUCUUUUCUUUCGAGGUUCCGGGCACUUGCACCUUUUUAUUUCCUCGUAUCUUUUUUCUCUCUCUUUUUUUAGAGCACUCAUCUCUUGAAUUAAUGUAGCAAGUGGCAGUAACCAAGAUAACUUGUGCAUUAAUUUCACAGGGGAAAACAGAAAUGUUUUUGGCUAUUCUCUCCCGGAUUAGGAGUAGAAUAUUUUUGGGUGGUUCUGGAGAUGGAAAUGGGUGGAUAUAUGUGGAUGCGUACUUCCGGAGUAGAAGCAGCAUGUGUGAGUGAACGUGCAAGUGAAUCUUGAUUUUAACCACAUGACAAGCCGCUAAGGGUCUACACAGCUUGACCACACUCAAUGCUCAUAAGCAGUAAAGUAAAUGUAUGGUUCAUAGUCUAAUAAGCAUGUAUAUAUGGCUGUGGUAGGAAUUUAAACUCUCAUCAUACAGGAACUCAUCAUGCAAUAUUUUAAAGAUUUUCAAAGAUAAAAUUCUCCAGAAUUCUAGCAUCUCUAGGAACAUAUAAACAACAACUCAACCUUCCCAUAUCGUAUCUGUUAACGACUUAGACUUUAGAUCAAGUACUCUUCCCACAAGUUCAGGUUUAGAGCAAAUCUUAAUUCAUAACAGUCAUGCAUAAACUUGAGAGAGACUUCAAUUUUGAGAACUAGUCAUGGCAGAGCAACUAUUCAUCAUUUCCAUGUGAGAGCUUAUCAUGAGGGUUCAUAGCAGACUUUAUUUAUUUAUUUAUUUAGCAAACUAAGCAAAGAUAUAUGUAUAUGAGCACAAAAUCUUUAUUUGGGUUUUUAUGAUUAUGCAUCAUUUUAUUAUUUGAGUAAAGUAUAAACAUGAGUAGAACACUUAGCUAGAUAAAUGGGGGUGCUCUCCCCCAAGCUGGAUUUUGACAUAAUUCCUUCUGAUGUAGCUAGCAGGUGGCGAAGGUGUAUUUGAAUGUCGGCCGCACCCUGACAGCGAUUAGGAUGUCCUUCCUCUGCUAGUCUUCUUUGAUCCUUGAAUUCUAUGGAGCUCAAAUAGACAACAAAGCUUUGUGGAACUAGUUAAGUGUUAGCAUAAAUAUCUAGCCUUUAUCAUGUUGAGCCUCCUCAAUAAAUGUUACUCUCUUUAGUAGGAUCAUAAAUUUAUUUUUAUAAUUUUAUUUUUAUAGGACAGGAAUAUAUUUAUUUCAUUUUUACGCCACCAUAGUGAAUGUACUUAUAGGUUUUAUGCCAUGAGCAUACUCACAUGGGGCUUACUAUUUUUAUUUUAUUUUCAAGAUGAUAUGAACCUGAUUAACUAAGCGAACUAUUUUAAAUAAUAGAAAGGAAAAAGAUAACUACCAAGUUUACCUCUUGGCAAGGCGUUCGGUGUUUUCAAGUCCUCCGAAUGGGACUCUCCUGUAUUCUCAGUCGUCCUAGGAUUCGCUGGAUGGCGUAGUCGGUGGUUACGGCGGUGCAUGCUCUUCGUGUAUAACUAUCUUCUCUCUCCACACCUGACUCAGUGCUACGAUCUCCACAAGAUAGUUCUGUUCAAGUUGUAUGUCUUCAGACCUUACAACUUCUCAUUCAUAGUCUGCCCAUCCGUCCUUGAUGAUUUGCCUCCUCUGGUUGCGGUUGCGUCGUCUUCUUCUUGUCCUGACCUGCUUAGAGUCUUCAACUAUGUAGUUAGGGUCAAUAAAAUAGCGGCGUACCUUCUCAAAGGGGAAGUGCAUGUGGACUUCUCCGGUUCCAAUGUAGAUGAUUGCUUUAACGGUGCUGAGGAACGGUCUUCAAAGGAUGACGGGUGGAUUAAAUUCGUCUUCUCGCAUGUCAAUAACCUUUCGGAAUGUCUGAUCUGCCAUCCGGUGUCGCAAAGCGUCUUCUAGAAGUUGUAUCCAUUAAUGGAGCACUGGAUGGUUGGCACACCUGGGUCGUCCUUUUGAAUCAGGAACAGUGACUUAAGUCGACAAUCUUGACCUCCUUGAACUGCAGUGACCAUCUUAGCUGACUUGGUCCACAUUUGCUUGUUCCUGUCCCUCCUGUUGGUCCUCUUCCUUGGUUCAUGUCGGGAAUGCUAAGAUUUGUGUAGUCUUGUUCUUGAAGGAAAACGUCUCCUUCCUCCCCUUGAUGUAGAAUCUGAUCUUGGUAGCACUAGCGUAGAUGACAGUUCCUGAGGUAUUCAGGAAUGGCCUCCCUAGGAUGAUGAGUGCCCCCUCAUCAGAACCGGUCUCUGUCACCAUGAAGUCUGCUGGGGUGUACAAGGUACCAACUCGGACGCAGAGGUUCUUCAAUAUUCCCUUUGGGAAACAUAGUGUCUGAUCUGCAAGCUGCAAACACAUGGUUGUUUCUAAUAAAGGAUGUGUAAAGAAUUUUUCAUAGAGUACCCUGGGCAUAAUGUUGACACUAGAGCCAAAGUCGCAGAGUGCUUCUAGGAUGUCCACCAUGCCAAUGGAGAUCGGGAUGACGGGGCGUCCUGGAUUGUCUCUCUUGAAUGACAGAAGGUCAGUAAUUACUUCCACAAUGGGGUUACUCCAAUAGUUACGUCCUCAAGCAUCGCAGGGCAGUGAUUGCCUAAGUGUCCAGUAUCUCUAGUGUGUUUGUGCUCGUAGAUCUAGGUUCUUCACUUGGUGGAUGGGAGUUGUAAAAGUCCUUCAUAUUUCGCUCAAAGUGUACCUGCUCAUAGAAACAAGGCAGAGAUCAAGUGCAUGGGCCCUGUUGGUAGAACACACCAACAGAACCAAAAGUGUAUUUAUUCUUCUCUAACCUCAAGCGUAGUGAGCAAGACAAAUUUGAUGGAUAAUAAGAUCAUGAGUGUAGCAUUUAAAACAUUUGUCAGAUCAGAUCGUUCAACCUAAUGGAAAGAUAAUCUAUCUAUACUUAUGUUUUUUUAUAUAUAUCUUCCAAAGAUUGAGUGUGCAACCUUUUAGCUCAUAAGAAUAGGAGUGUGGGAUCACAAAGGUGGAAGGACUAAACAUGUUGAAUCGAUUGGGUUGGUUAAUCUAGAGUUGUAAAUCAUACAUGUUUGUCUCUUUUAUUCAUGUGAACGCUAGAACCAAGGAGAAGCUUAUAGAAGUGAAAGUCAAGUACCUUAAGAUGUUACCUUACUUGAAGAGUGAUGGUACAGUAUCACCUUAUGAAAGCUUUCCUUUCUUAGCGGUUAUGCAUCGUGUUUGUUACCUUACUUGAAGAGUGAUGCCUUUCUUGUGUAAAUUGUUAACCUUCAUGCGUCUCUCUCUUUGUCUCCAAUGUGAGUUUAUCUCAGGACUUCCCAGGUCGAUAUUGAAAGUUUUCCUGCAGGGGUUAGUCCAACAAAAUAUCCAAUAUCUACUAUAGCAUACUAUCGGCUCAAAAAUCAACCUAGACACCAUGUCUAAUUUGAUUUAGGAGGGCAUUUUAACCUAAGCACCAUGCUUAAUUUAAAAUCCCUUGGAAGUAAGAUCAUCAUUCCUAAACUAAGCACCAUGCUUAAUUAAGAGAUAAAUGAAACUACUCCAAACCUAGACAAAUACUAAAGCAAAUAAAGGUAGCAUGAGAGCAUUUAUAGAGAUCUACUCAAGUGUAGAUGAAGUAGUGUGAUUAGUAUUUAACAAAUUGAGGAUGUCUCAAAGGUAGGGUCAACCAACAUAGCAUCAUGGCAAAGGCUAUUUUUUUGUAAAGUACUCCCCCAAGCUUGGAUUUUGCAAAAUUCAAGUUUGGAUGAAUUUAAUUCAAUGUUGUAUGAUGAUUGGUUGGACAUACCUUGUGCUUGUCAUUCAUCCGAUCUUCUUGCUCCAAUCCUGGAAAGGUUAGUGACAAGAAUACCUGAAGGAAUAUUUUUACAAUUAUCCUUAUAUGCUCAAUACACAAGGUAAUGUUGCAAAUAAUUAAAAGCUCAUGUUACGAUUUGAUCAGUACUUAUUUUAGGACACUAAGCUUGUCCUUGGGAAACCAUCAAUUUAUGUCAGCGAAGUGGUUUCCCCUCCAACGCUGACCUAUCUCAAGAUCAACUCAACGAGAUCUGCAAUGUUUAUUAUAGACAUAUGCAUCGACAACAGCCCUUUUAAAGUUUUUAUAAAUAGAAAGGAAGAGGGGGUUGGAGAUCUCGAAUGUGGUGAUUUUGGAGAGACCAAAAGAUUGGGAAGAUGUUGCAUAUGAGCAUGGAGUAAAUGAAGUGGCUAUGAAAUCAAUUCCAUGCUCAUUAAUGCUUGGAGUGAAAUCCAUGUGGUGUGGUGAAAAUUGUAAGGUGAGUGUGGUAAAAAAGGAAAAGAAAAGGAUACACUGACGACUUGGUUAGAAACUAGCACAGCUACCGUUCCCCGGCAACAGCGCCAGAAAGCUUGUUGGGUAUUUUAAACGCAAAUAGAAAAAUCCGCAAGCACACGGAUACCGAUGUAGCCUUCACCCGAGAGUAUUCCAGAAUAUCGAUUUUCCACAGGGAACGUGAGUGUACUAAUUAAGAUUCAAGAUCGCCCAGGGAUAACUAUAUAAGUAUUUUUGGUGGGAAGAGAGGAAGUUUUCUUAGAGUUCUAUAGUUGAUCUAAGAAUCAAGAAUUACUUCAAGAUUAUCUAUUUUGGGACAUCAGAACACUAACCACAUAAAGAGAUGAGAAGGGGGCUAGGAAGCUCUGACUAUGGUCCUACAAACACCGAUCCGAACGAGGUGGAAUACUUCGAUCGUUAGGGCUGUCACUACCAUAGGGCUACCACAACAAUCCGCAAGAUUGGGUGCAAUUCCAGGUAAUUGCAAGACUAAACACCACGUCUAAUCUAUUAAUUUCUACUCUAAUGUUUCAAAGAUUAGAGCACUUGAUGCAAGCGGGAAUCCAAUAAAUAACUUGAAUGUAAAUAAAAGUAAUUAAAGAACUCAGGAAUUGUGAAUUGAAGAACCUGGAGAACGAUGAAGAAUGAACCAGAUGCUGCAAAAGUAUAAUGUUGAGUAAGAUCCGACAGAUCCGGCUCCUCCUCCACUCGCCUCUUAUCUCUCCCUAUUUUCUAGAUUACAACUAGAACUAACUAGAACUAGAACUAGAGGAACUAGAACUAGAUCUAGAUGAACCAGAACUAGAACUAGAUGAACUAGAGGGAUCCUCUCUACUUGGAUGAAGAAUUGAAAUCCUAACUUUGAUUCUGUAGAAGAGGUAUGCUCUCUAGGGGCUAGGGGGCCUUGCUUAUAUUGUCUUUUUAGGUGAAUCUGGGCCGUCGGAUCAAACCGACAUUGAUUGAACGGUUAUCCUUGAUCCUUUAGGUCGGUGGAGCAUGAUCCCCGAGUUGUACCCUAAUUGGGCAGAAUAGGAGGACGGGCGCCCUAAGGACUAGGGCGGGCGCCCUGUCCCUGAGCCCUCUCGGCUUUCGCUUUGUUCCCGUGGCUUCUGGAGUCUUCUAGAUGAUAGAAUAUGGCGCAGCAUGUUAAUAUCUCUAUGUAAACCCGACGUGUGGGCCUUUCUUCCGUAUUUCCUGAUAACCCCCUGCAGAAAUAGACAAACACCAAAACUCGUGGAAUUCUGUCAGAUAAAACCCUAAGUCUAGGUGUUAGUUGCAUUUGGAUCCUUUUCCAUGAUUAGUUGAUGUUAAAUGUGAGCAUUAAGGACCGUCAACACUCGUCCCUAAGCAAAGAUGGACUCAAGAGUUUCUGCAGUGGUUUCAUGUCUUAAAGAUACACAUGUGUUCAAACAAGAUCUCAUCUCUGGGUUAGGGUAAACUGUUAAUAUUUAAACUUACUCAUUUUACCUUCCACCAUGGGGCUUGUAACCGUCACUUGUGUCUUGAGCAGUUAAAAGAUAGAAUGGUCUAGUCAAGCGCCAUGUCUCUUGUUCUUUGAUUAACUAUAGCUCUGGAGUUUUUGUAGAUUUUCCAAUAAAACUCAGAGAUUCCUUGUAUGACUCUCUCUCUAGUCUCUCUUUUGUGGUAUUUCUGGAUCCUUAUCUAGGCGGUAAUGGUAUAUGCCAUCUCUCAAAGUAUGUGGUAUUUGUGGUACCAGGCAUAGUGGCAUUGCCUUCUCUCUCACCCUACUCUAAUAAGGUUUUUAUAUCUAGCGCUCAUAGAUGGGAGACAGCUAAUACAUACUAACAAGACAUUUAUUGCAUAGUCAAACCAUGGAUCCAGAAGAACAAGUCAAUAAGUCAAAUCAAGAUGUGCAUGUGUGGCGAAUG
rnacentral:lncRNA from 1 species